rnacentral:lncRNA from 1 species
CGCCGACACUAAGAGCACCGCCCUUUGCCCUUGGCACCACGGCAGCCGCAGUGGUCGCCACGGCAGGCGGAGCAACAACAAGUUGGCCUUCGUCCGACCCUGCGACGUAUCAACGAAUAAAAAAAAUAAAAAAAAUCGAGCCAAUGACUUACCAACAAGAUAAUUGUCCACACUAAUGUCGGUGGCGAAAUCGGCGACGCGCUUGCCCGGCGGCGGCAACUCUCGGGCCGCCUACGCGACCUUCGGCACCCUGCUGGACACCGGUGCAGCCUUCGCAGACUUAGAACCACCGGCGGCAGCCGCAGCCUCCGGUGCCUUGCUAGAUGCAGGGACGACCGACUUCGCCGCCAGCGGUGGCUUGCCUCCACCGGGGGCAGCAGCCUUCGCAGCCCCCCGCUGCCUCUUCGGCCUGGCUUCAUGAAGCCUGACGACCGCCUGGGCUUCUGUGCAGCUCCCUAGCGAUCCUUGUCCAUCACUGCCGACACAACAUCAGCAAUAUUCCACCCGAAAGGAAACACUUUCCAUUCACGAACCAUGCGAGAUGUAAAAAAGUCUUCACCGGCCGCGCGGGGGAUAGGAACAUUCUUAGGCCACCAACCCCUGGUAACCCUCAGCAUGCGCGCCGAAGACUGCCGGAGCUCGGGCGAAGACAUCCUUCCCCCCGGAGCCGCGCAUGUCCUCAUUAAUUCUCUAGCAAAACCAUCAGAAACCCCAAGUCCUCCCAUAGCAGUACCUAGUUUCCUCUUCUUAGAGGACGGGGCAGCCGCCGGCGCGGGGUCGUCUCCAGACUCUACCACCGGUUUCUUCCCACGACGAUCCACAUCGUCUUGGCCGGGAUAACCGCCAUACGGCAGACGAUUCAACUCAAAAACCGUGUUCAAAUGGUCAUUCGACCCGCGAAUAUCCCAGCUACGCUGGCCCUCUGUCCUCGGCACGUACCGACCAAUGAUCCGCACUGCCCCAUCCUCCGCCUCACGCACAAAGGCGGCCGGAUCGCGGCUAUGCAGAUCAAGCGCAAAGGGUGGACUUCGCACCAGCUUCCCACCAUGGGAAGGCAUCUGGCAAGGGCACACUUCGCCCAACGCCCAGCCAUGCGCCAAGGGCCAUACCCCAUACGCCACAAAUUCCUCAACCAAAUCGCGCCCGCUGCUCUGGCCGGCGGCGCACCGAUGGGCCCCUUCGUCCGCAUCCUCCUCCGCCACUUCGAAAGGCGGGUAUGCUGAGUAAAGAUGCGAGCACAUCUCGGACACGGGGAGCCCCGGAUGGUCUUCGACUUUACCCUCCGCGACGUAAAACCAAAACUCAUGCCAAUUGCCCCACUUGUUGCGGGCGCAAGGAACCAACUCAACUACCUCCAUCGUGGUCUUGCCGGUCUUCAGCGUAAAUGUACAGGACCCAAACUGGGCAACUUCAUCUCCAAUCAUCCUCUUCUGCCAGUGCAGGCAAUAGUACUUCGCGAAGACUUCGACUGAUGGCUGUCCGUCGUACGAAGUCGUCGCCCAGACAUACUUCGACAGAGCCACCACAGCAUUCAGAGUCAGCUGAUGGAUCUGAACGUUAAAUCUGCGCAGGACUUCUCCAACAAAGUGCGCAGGCAGGCGAAGACCAGCGACGAAGAACGCCUCGAACACAACCAACUCGCCCUCCGGCUCGGGGACUUCCUCCGUCCCCGGGACACGAGCGACUCCGCCGCCAAAGUAACCCAGCCGCUGCAUAUCUUGCACGCGGACCGACGACAUCCUCGACACACCAAAAUCCACUGUAUCGCCGGUGCGCAACUCCUCCGCCGCCACUGUACUCAGCGUUUCCUCAGACGACGCGUCGGCCGGGGCGUAGCGGCAGCAGAAGAAGAAGAGGUCGGCAUCGCUACGUACCGUCGGCGGCGGCGGGCGGUCUGCUUCACUCGAGCCAGAUCUCCGGCGAACAAGAGCAAGGAGGGCAGACGAGCAGCAAGACGGUGGAAAAGGCGGCUAGGGUUUUGACGGAGCGCGGAAAGAUAAAGUUCAAAACGCGCCGCCCCCCCGCCCCCCUUUUAUACACAGGGCGCGACGCUUCGAGAAACCCUCAGUCCAACAGUACGGUGUCAAUCAACGGUCAUGUCAAAAACCCCCGCGGAACCACUUCGAGCGAGGGCAGCGUCUCCGCCAUCUAGCGACGUCUUCGGCACCAGAUGACUUAGUCGAACUGGUCGCUCGGAGGGCAAAUGUUGGGGCGAAGGCGAAGACGCCACCCUUCGCUCGAGGCCUUCGCCGUGGUUGUCGGUCCAACGGAGACAAGACAACGGGCAGGGACACCCUUCGCUCUAUACGACAUCGGACGAAGGCCCAUGACGAGGUCAUCCCACCGUGCGGCCUCGUCCAGCAUGGAGGCCCACGUGUGAUCUGGCCCAUUGUAACAGGCCCUGCCUGGCCGCUGCGUGUUACGGGCCUAAUUUGUAAAGGCAUCUAUGUAAUUACAGUCUGUAACCCCGCUUUAUGGGAAUAUUCAGGGGAUAACCUAGGUGUCUGAGGGCACAUGCGUCCUUAACACAAGACGCUGGGCACUCAUAUACCUAUAAAUACCCCCACACAGUGCCCUUGUGAGGCUAGAUUAACAGAGCUAUUGCCGUCUUGCGCGAGAACCCUGUUAACGUCACUGUUCACCCUCAUUGGAUCCCCUUGCAACUGAGAGCAAGUUCCAACAACAGCAGCAGCAGUAUCGCCAGGCAAAUGACAAUAGGUGUUUCACAUGCGGCAACACCGGACAUUAUGCCAAGAAUUGCCCCAGGAACCAGCAGAGGCAGGGGCAGAAUGUUAAUCAAAAUCAAGGCAAGAGACAGAAGGUGCAAGUGAGGCAAGGCAGGCUAAACUUCACCACCAUGGCUGAUAUUCCAGAGGGGGCACCCGUCAUGACUGGUAUCUUUACAGUUUUGAAUUAUCAUGCUAUUAUUCUUUUUGAUUCUGGUGCAUCGCAUAGUUUUAUCAGUGCCAAAUUUAGUGCCAAGUGCCAGUUGCCUUUUCACCACACUAAUGGGGGUAUCACCAUUUCAACACCAGGGGGCAGGGUUGCCACCUAUCAAGUCAACAGACAUGUGCCCAUAAAGUUUGGUAGUCUAAUAAUUAAAACCACCCUCCUCAUUUUGGGUUUGGAUAGCGUGGAUAUUAUAUUGGGAACUGACUGGUUAACCAGGCACCAAGCAGUUAUUGAUAUUGCAUCUAGGGCCAUUGAGGUGCACUCACCAACUUGUGGUGAACUACACUAUAUUUGCCUGACCAGGGAUGCACCCGUUCUUGUGCCUUCGUUAUGAUAGAAUCCCCAGUGGAAAAGAUCCCAGUGGUCUGUGACUACCCAGAUGUUUUUCUAGAUGAAUUGCCCGGGAUGCCACCUGACCGAGACAUUGAGUUCGCCAUUGAAUUGCAACCCGGGACUGCUCCUAUCUCCAAGAGACCCUAUAGGAUGCCUCCCGCGGAAUUGGCAGAACUGAAAAAGCAAUUGCAAGAGUUGUUGGACAAGGGGUUUAUUCGCCCAAGUACUUCACCAUGGGGAUGUCCUGCCUUAUUCGUGAAGAAAAAGGAUGAGAGUUUGAGAAUGUGUGUUGACUACCGCCCUCUCAAUGCGGUGACUAUCAAGAACAAAUACCCACUACCCCGCAUUGAUGUUCUGUUUGAUCAGUUGGUAGGAGCCAAGGUAUUCUCCAAGAUAGAUCUUCGCUCAGGUUACCAUCUGUCGGGGACCAUAAUUAGGGGUACCCUCAAGGCUCCUAAUUCUCAGCUGGUAACCCCCAUCAGCGUAAAGCUGCAAAGGCCUGAUGGGUGCGAUUAAGUCAGGGAUCAGUCCAUUCGAGGGACUCGAUCGCGCCUCGCCCGAGCCUAGCCUCGGACAAGGGCAGCCGACCCCGGAGGAUUUCCUUCUCGCCCGAGGCCCCCCUCCAGCGGCGAAUGUAUUUCCGUCUCGCCCGAGGCCCCGUCUUCGCCAAGAAGCAACCCUGACCAAAUCGCCGCACCAACCGACCAAAUCGCAGGAGCAUUUAAUGCAAAGGUGGCCUGACACCUUUAUCCUGACGCGCGCCCCCCAGCCGGCAGAGCCGAAGUGACUACCGUCACUUCACCGCUCCACUGACCGGCCUAACAGAAGGACAGCGCCGCCUGCGCCACUCCGACUGCAGUGCCACCUAACAGAGUGAGGCUGACAGGCAGUCAGGCCCGGCCGAAGGCACCAUAGGAAACUCCGCUCCGACCGACCCAGGGCUCGGACUCGGGCUAAGUCCCGGAAGACGACGAACUCCGCUCCGCCCGACCCAGGGCUCGGACUUGGGCUAAGUCCCAGAAGACGACGAACUCCGCUCCGCCUGACCCAGGGCUCGGACUUGGGCUCAGCCCCAGAAGACGACGAACUCCGCUCCGCCCGAACCCAGGGCUCGGACUCCGCCCUGGCCUCAGCCGACGGUCUCCGCCUCGCCUGAACCAGGGGCUCGGACUCGACCUCGACCACGGAAGACAGACUCGACCUCGGCCUCGGAGGAGCUUCCACAUCGCCCAACCUAGGGCGUAGACCAGCCACGUCGAUAGGAGGCGCCAUCAUCACCCUACCCCAAGCUGACUCGGGCCACGAGGGACAAGACCGGUGUCCCAUCUGGCUCGCUCCGCUAGAUAGGCAAUGAUGGCGCCCCGUGUAUCCUGUGACGGCGGCGGCUCUCAGCCCCCUUACGGAAGCAAGAGGACGUCAGCAAGGACUCGACAGCCCCGACAGCUGUCCCUCCACCAGGCUCCAGCACUCCUCCGACGGCCACGACAUCACACCAACUGGGUGCCAAAUUCUCUCCGGCUGCCACAACGGCAUGUACUUAGGUCGCUAGCUCUCCUCCGCUAGACACGUAGCACUCUGCUAUACCCCCCAUUGUACACCUGGAUCCUCUCCUUACGCCUAUAAAAGGAAGGACCAGGGCACUCUUAGAUAGGGUUGGCCGCGCGGGGACGAGGACGAGACAGGCGCUCGCUUGGAGCCGCUCGCUCCCUCUCCCGCGUGGACGCUUGUAACCCCCUACUGCAAGCGCACCCGACCUGGGCGCAGGGCGAACACGAAGGCCGCGGGAUUCCCACCUCUCUCACGCCGGUCUCCGGCCGCCUUGAUCUCCCCCCUUCGCGCUCGGCCUCACGCUCGACCCAUCUGGGCUGGGGCACGCGGCGACAUUCACUCGUCGGCUCAGGGACCUCCCGGUCUUGAAACGCCGACAGUUGGCGCGCCAGGUAGGGGCCUGCUGCGUGUUGACGAAUAGCUUCCCGUCAAGCUCCAGAUGGGCAGUCUCCAACAACCUCUACAACCCGGGACGGUGCUCCGUUUCGGGAGUCUUGAGUUCAUGUACCUCGACGGCAGCUACGACAUGAUACUCAUUCCACCGCCGGGCGGCAGCGGCAACAGCGGCAGACAACCCGCCCGCCGGCGGCAGAAUCGACGACGUCUUCCCCGCAUGGUGGAAGAACGACCUUCGAGCUCAUCUCGCCCUCUUCCCCGCCAGCGGCGGGGAAGGCGGGGCAACCAAGGCCAAGCAGGAGGCAGUGCCUCGUCGGCUGUCGAGCGAGUCGACAGCGCCGGCACCCCAACAGGGGGCGCACCGGGCAUCAACCUCGCGCUUGAGACGAAGACGAGCGCCGUCUCCCCGCGACACGCCAAUCCCGAGCAAGCGAACGACGCCGGCACGCUCGCGAAAAGCUUGCUGGAUGUCACCCUCGUACCUGAGACGACGGUGCAUUCAGUCCCUGACGUGACUUCAUCACCGCCCGUCGACCAAGAGGUACCGACCGAUUCUCAUCCCCCGUCAUUUGGGUUUAGCCUCAACCCGUCUAGCGGCCUCGCUUUGGCGGGUGCUCUCGUAGAGGCGAGCCCAAACCCUCUGGGGUUUCGUAUGCGGUCACCUUGGGACCGGCUGACGGACGUCUCGACCUACGGGCCCUCUGGGUCCGAGGAUGACGACGAGCCCAGCUUCUGUUGGGAUUUCUCUGGGCUUGGCAACCCCAGUGCCAUGCAGGACUUCAUGACCGCAUGCGACUACUGCCUCUCCGACUGUUCCGACGGUAGCCGUAGCCUCGGCGACGAGGACUGCGGCCCAAGUCGCGAAUGCUUCCACGUCGAUCUAGGGGGUCCCUCCGAAGGCAACCAUCUCGGCAUGCCAGAGGACGGUGAUCUCCCUAGGCCGGUGCCUCGCGUUGACAUCCCACGGGAGCUAGCUGUGGUCCCCGUUCAGGCGGGGGGCCAUGACCCACAGCUCGAGCAAAUCCGCGGGGUGCAGGCCAGGCUCGACGAGGGAGCAGGAGCGCUUGAGCCGAUCCACCGGGACGUCGGGCAGGCAUGGGCGGGCCAACCUCCGGCCGAAGAAAUACGUCAUCUACCCUAGGGCUUCCAGCAUCGCAUCGCCGACGAUGUCAGGGUCAGGCCGCCACCAGCAUCCAGUGGGGUUGGCCAGAACCUGGCUGCAGCGGCAAUGCUCCUCCGCGCGAUGCCGGAGCCAUCAACCACCGAGGGGCGGCGAAUCCAGGGAGAGCUCAAGAAUCUCCUGGAAGGCGCCGCGGUCCGAUGGGCCGAGAGCUCCGCCUCCCAAAGGCAGGGGUACCCCUUGGAACCUCAUGCCGCGACUUCCCGAUUCAUGCGGGAAGCCUCGGUCUACACCGGGCGCACGUGCAACACCGCGCCUGCGGCCCCGGGUCACCUAGGCAACGAGCACCAUCACCGCGAUCGUCGGACCCACCUCGACGAGAGGGUGCGCCGAGGCUACCACCCCAGGCGUGGGGGACGCUACGAUAGCGGGGAGGAUCGUAGUCCCUCGCCCGAACCACCCGGUCCGCAGGCCUUCAGCCGGGCCAUCCGGCGGGCGCCGUUCCCGACCCGGUUCCGACCCCCGAGUACUAUCACAAAGUACUCGCGGGAGACGAGACCGGAACUGUGGCUCGCGGACUACCGUCUGGCCUGCCAGCUGGGUGGAACGGACGAUGACAACCUCAUCAUCCGCAACCUCCCCCUGUUCCUCUCCGACACCGCUCGCGCUUGGUUGGAGCACCUGCCUCCGGGGCAGAUCUCCAACUGGGACGACCUGGUCCAAGCUUUCGCCGGCAAUUUCCAGGGCACGUACGUGCGCCCCGGGAAUUCCUGGGACCUCCGAAGCUGCCGACAGCAGCCGGGAGAGUCUCUCCGGGACUACAUCCGGCGAUUCUCGAAGCAGCGCACCGAGCUGCCCAACAUCACCGACUCGGAUGUCAUCGGCGCGUUCCUCGCUGGCACCACCUGUCGUGACCUGGUGAGCAAGCUGGGUCGCAAGACCCCCACCAGGGCGAGCGAGCUGAUGGACAUCGCCACCAAGUUUGCCUCCGGCCAGUAGGCGGUCGAGGCUAUCUUCCGAAAGGACAAGCAGCCCCAGGGCCGCCCAUCGGAGGAUGCCCCCGAGGCGUCAACUCAGCGCGGCGCCAAAAAGAAGGGCGAGAAGAAGUCGCAAGCGAAACACGACGCCACCGACGCGGACCUUGUCGCCGCCGCCGAGUACAAGAACCCUCGGAAGCCCUUCGGAGGUGCCAACCUCUUCAACAAGAUGCUCAAGGAGCCAUGCCCCUAUCACCAGGGGCCCGUCAAGCACACCCUUGAGGAGUGCGUCAUGCUUCGGUGCCACUUCCACAGGGCCGGGCCACCCGCGGAGGGUGGCAGGGCCCGCGACGACGACAAGAAGGAAGAUCACCAGGCAGGAGAGUUCUCCGAGGUCCGCGACUGCUUCAUGAUCUACGGUGGGCAAGCGGCGAAUGCCUCGGCUCGGCACCGCAAGCAAGAGCGCCGGGAGGUCUGCUCGGUGAAGGUGGCGGCGCCAGCCUAUCUAGACUGGUCCGACAAGCCCAUCACUUUCGACCGAGCCGACCACCCCGACCAUGUGCCAAGCCCGGGUAAAUACCCGCUCGUCGUCGACCCCGUCGUCGGCAAUGUCAGGCUCACCAAGGUCCUCAUGGACGGAGGCAGCAGCCUCAACAUCAUCUACGCUGAGACCCUCGGGCUCCUGCGUGUCGAUCUAACUUGUAUCCGGGCAGGCGCUGCACCCUUCCAUGGGGUCAUUCCCGGGAAGCGCGUCCAGCCCCUCGGGCAACUCGACCUUCCCGUCUGCUUCGGAACACCCUCCAACUUCCGAAGGGAGACCCUGACGUUCGAGGUGGUCGGGUUCCGAGGAACCUACCACGCGGUGCUGGGAAGACCAUGCUACGCGAAGUUCAUGGCCGUCCCCAACUACACCUACCUGAAGCUCAAGAUGUCGGGCCCCAACGGGGUCAUCACCAUCGGCCCCACGUACAAACACGCGUUCGAAUGCGACGUGGAGUGUGUGGAGUACGUCGAGGCCCUCGCCGAGUCCGAGGCCCUCAUCGCCGACCUGGAGAGCCUCUCUAAGGAGGUGCCAGACGUGAAACGUCAUGCCGGCAACUUUGAGCCAGCGGAGACGGUUAAGUCCGUCCCCCUCGACCUCAGCGGCGACGCCUCCAAGCAGAUCCGGAUCGGCUCUGGGCUCGGACCCAAAUAGGAAGCAGUGCUCGUCGACUUUCUCCGCGUGAACGCCCACGUCUUCGCGUGGAGUCCCUCGGACAUGCCCGGCAUACCGAGGGAUGUCGCCGAGCACUCGCUGGACAUCCAAGCCGGAGCCCGACCCGUCAAGCAGCCUCUGCGCCGAUUCGAUGAGGAGAAGCGCAGAGCCAUAGCCUAGGAGAUCCACAAGCUAAUGGCGGCAGGGUUCAUCAAAGAGGUAUUCCAUCCCGAAUGGCUUGCCAACCCUGUGCUUGUGAGAAAGAAAGGGGGGAAAUGGCGGAUGUGUGUAGACUACACUGGUCUGAACAAAGCAUGCCCGAAGGUUCCCUACCCUCUGCCUCGCAUCGAUCAAAUCGUGGAUUCCACUGCUGGGUGCGAAACCCUGUCUUUCCUCGAUGCCUACUCAGGGUAUCAUCAAAUCAGGAUGAAAGAGUCCGACCAGCUCGCGACUUCUUUCAUCACACCCUUCGGCAUGUACUGCUAUGUCACCAUGUCGUUCGGUUUGAGGAAUGCGGGUGCGACGUACCAGCGGUGCAUGAACCAUGUGUUCGGCGAACACAUUGGCCGCACGGUCGAGGCCUACGUCGAUGACAUCGUAGUCAAGACGAGAAAAGCCUCCGACCUCCUUUUCGACCUUGAAGUGACAUUCCGAUGUCUCAAGGCGAAAGGCGUCAAGCUUAAUCCCGAGAAGUGUGUCUUCGGGGUACCCCGAGGCAUGCUCUUGGGGUUCAUCAUCUCCGAGCGGGGCAUCGAAGCCAACCCGGAGAAGAUCGCAGCCAUCACCAGCAUGGGGCCCAUCAAGGACUUGAAAGGCGUACAGAGGGUCAUGGGAUGUCUCGCGGCUCUAAGCCGCUUCAUCCCACGCCUCGGCGAAAGAGGUCUACCUCUGUACCUCCUCUUGAGGAAGGCCAAGUGCUUCACUUGGACCCCUGAGGCCGAGGAAGCCCUCGGGAACCUGAAGGCGCUCCUCACGAAGGCGCCUAUCUUGGUGCCCCCAGCUGCCGGAGAAGCUCUCUUGGUCUACGUCGCCGUGACCACUCAGGUGGUUAGCGCCGCGAUUGUGGUCGAGAGGCGAUAAGAGGGGCAUGCAUUGCCCGUUCAGAGGCCAGUCUACUUCGUCAGCGAGGUACUGUCCGAAACCAAGAUCUGCUACCCACAAGUUCAGAAGCUGUUGUAUGCGGUGAUCUUGACACGGCGGAAGUUGCGACACUACUUCGAGUCUCAUCCGGUAACUUUGGUGUUAUCCUUCCACCUGGGGGAGAUCAUCCAGUGCCGGGAGGCCUCGGGUAGGAUUGCAAAGUGGGCGGUGGAAAUCAUGGGCGAGGCGAUCUCGUUCGCUCCUCGGAAGGCCAUCAAGUCCCAGGUCUUGGCGGACUUCGUGGCUGAAUGGGUCGACACUCAGCUACCGACAGCUCCGAUCCAACCGGAGCUCUGGAUGAUGUUCUUCGACGGGUCGCUGAUGAAGACAGGAGCCGGCGCAGGCCUACUCUUCAUCUCGCCCCUCGGGAAGCACCUACACUAUGUGCUACGUCUCCAUUUCCCGGCGUCCAACAAUGUGGCUGAGUACGAAGCUCUGGUCAACGGAUUGCGGAUCGCCAUCGAGCUAGGGGUCCGACGCCUCGAUGCUCGCGGUGACUCGCAGCUCGUCAUCGACCAAGUCAUGAAGAACUCCCACUGCCGUGACCCGAAGAUGGUGGCAACCCGGAGAAGAUCGCAGCCAUCACCAGCAUGGGGCCCAUCAAGGACUUCAAAGGCGUACAGAGGGUCAUGGGAUGUCUCGCGGCUCUGAGCCGCUUCAUCUCACGCCUCGGCGAAAGAGGUCUACCUAUGUACCGCCUCUUGAGGAAGGUCGAGUGCUUCACUUGGACCCCUGAGGCCGAGGAAGCCCUCGGGAACCUGAAGGCGCUCCUCACGAAGGCGCCUAUCUUGGUGCCCCCAGCUGCCGGAGAAGCUCUCUUGGUCUACGUCGCCGCGACCACUCAGGUGGUUAGCGCCGCGAUUGUGGUCGAGAGGCGGUAAGAGGGGCAUGCAUUGCCUGUUCAGAGGCCAGUCUACUUCGUCAGCGAGGUACUGUCCGAAACCAAGAUCCGCUACCCACAAGUUCAGAAGCUGCUGUAUGCGGUGAUCCUGACACGGCGGAAGUUGCGACACUACUUCGAGUCUCAUCCGGUAACUGUGGUGUCAUCCUUCCCCCUGGGGGAGAUCAUCCAGUGCCGGGAGGCCUCGGGUAGGAUUGCAAAGUGGGCGGUGGAAAUCAUGGGCGAGGUGAUCUCGUUCGCUCCUCGGAAGGCCAUCAAGUCUCAGGUCUUGGCGGACUUCGUGGCUGAAUGGGUCGACACUCAGCUACCGACAGCUCCGAUCCAACCGGAGCUCUGGAUGAUGUUAUUCGACGGGUCGCUGAUGAAGACAGGAGCCGGCGCAGGCCUACUCUUCAUCUCGCCCCUCGGGAAGCACCUACGCUAUGUGCUACGUCUCCAUUUCCUGGCGUCCAACAAUGUGGCUGAGUACGAAGCUCUGGUCAACAGAUUGCAGAUCGCCAUCGAGCUAGGGGUCCGACGCCUCGACGCUCGCGGUGACUCGCAGCUCGUCAUCGACCAAGUCAUGAAGAACUCCCACUGCCGCGACCCGAAGAUGGAGGCCUACUGCGAUGAGGUUUGGCGCAUGGAAGACAAGUUCUACGGGCUCGAGCUCAACCACAUCGCUCGGCGCUACAACGAGACUGCGGACGAGCUGGCUAAAAUACCCUCGGGGCGAACAACGGUUCCCCCGGACGUCUUCUCCCGGGAUCUGCAUCAACCCUCCAUCAAGAUCGACGACACGCCCGAGCCUGAGGCACCCUCGGCCCAGCCCGAGGCACCCUCGGCACAGCCCGAGGCACCCUCGGCUCGGCCUGAGGCGCCCUCGGUUUAGCCCGAGGAAACCUCGGCCCCCGAGGGCGAGACGCUGCACGUCGAGGGGGAGCAAAGCGAGGUCAUGCCUGAUCAAAACUGGCAGACCCCGUACUUGCAAUAUCUCCACCGAGGAGAGCUACCCCUCGACCGAGCCGAGGCCCGGCGGGUGGCACGACGCGCCAAGUCGUUCAUCUUGCUGGGUGAUGAGAAGGAGCUCUACCACCGCAGCCCCUCUGGCAUCCUCCAGCGAUGCAUCUCCAUCGCCGAAGGUCAGGAACUCCUGCGAGAGAUACACUCGGGGGCUUGCGGCCAUCACGCAGCGCCUUGAGCCCUUGUCGGGAAUGUUUUCCGGCAAGGCUUCUACUGGCCCACGGCGGUGGCCGACGCUACGAGAAUUGUCCGCACCUGCGAAGGGUGUCAAUUCUACGCAAGGCAGACCCACCUGCCCGCUCAGGCUCUGCAGACGAUACCCAUCACCUGGCUUUUUGCUGUGUGGGGUCUGGACCUCGUCGGCCCCUUGCAGAAGGCACCCGGGGGCUACACGCACCUGUUGGUCGCCAUCGACAAAUUCUCCAAGUGGAUCGAGGUCCGACCCCUAAACAACAUCAGGUCCGAGCAGGCGGUGGCGUUCUUCACCAACAUCAUCCAUCGCUUUGGGGUCCCGAACUCCAUCAUCACCGACAACGGCACCCAGUUCACCGGCAGAAAGUUCCUGGACUUCUGCGAGGAUCACCACAUCCGGGUGGACUGGGCCGCCGUAGCUCACCCCAUGUCAAAUGGGCAAGUAGAGCGUGCCAAUGGCAUGAUUCUACAAGGGCUCAAGCCUCGGAUCUACAACGACCUCAACAAGUUCGGCAAGCGAUGGAUGAAGGAACUCCCCUCGGUGGUCUGGAGUCUGAGGACAACGCCGAGCCGAGCAACGGGCUUCACGCCGUUCUUCCUAGUAUACGAGGCCGAGGCCGUCUUGCCCACAGACAUGGAAUACGGCUCCCCGAGGACGAGGGCCUACACCGACCAAAGCAACCAAGCUAGUCGAGAAGACUCGCUGGACCAGCUGGAGGAGGCUCGAGAUAGGGCCUUACUACACUCGGCGCGGUACCAGCAGUCCCUGCGACGCUACCACGCCCGAGGGGUCCGGUCACGAGACCUCCAGGUGGGCGACCUGGUGCUUCGACUGCGACAAGACGCCCGAGGGCGACACAAGCUCACGCCCCCCUGGGAGGGGCCGUUCGUCAUUGCCAAAGUCUUGAAGCCCGGAACGUACAAGCUGGCCAACAGUCAAGGCGAGGUCUACGGCAACGCUUGGAACAUCCAACAGCUACGUCGCUUCUACCCUUAAGAUGUUUUCAAGUUGUUCAUAUACCUCGCUCCCACGCAAAGUUUAGUCAUCAAGGAAGGGUCGGCCUCGCCUCGGCAAAGCCCGACCCUCCCUCGGGGGCUAAAAGGGGGCAACCCCCUCUGCGUCAAAAUUUUCCUCGAAAAAAGAUCUUUUCUGCCAGAAUGUCUUUCGUGCUUUUUGACUACUUCGAAAGUGGAUCCUGAAAACGACGGAGUACACGUAAGCAGCCAAGGCUGACCGAGCCGAGGGACUCCUACGCCUCCGAGAUACGGAUACCUCACUCAUCACCUUCUGCGAUAAGUAACUCACGUUCGGAUAAGUGAUUCCGCAGACCGAACAAGUCUUCACGCUCGGAAGCUCUUCUACCGGAGCGAUUCUUCGAGCCUUCUCGACUGCGUCGGUGACAGAGCCCCAUGGACGGGUAAGAGUGCGCGUAAGCGGCAAGGCCGACCGAGCCGAGGGACUCCCACGCCUCCGGGAUACGGAUACCUCACUCAUCACCUUCCGCGAGAAGCAACUCUCGCUCGCACAAACAUUUCUGUUACCGACAAAAAAGUCCAGAUACUCGAAAUAAGAGGAAAUGAGACGCAUAUUUACAACACGGCGAGGGUGUGUUUUGGCCUCGGCGGCCGCGGGAAACACACGCUACAAGACAACCCGAUCCUACAGGCUCGGAUCCUGACGCUUGAAGGGAGCAGCAGCACCCUCGGCGUCGACAACACCUUCGGCGAGGUUCGACCUAGCCUCGGACGACGACGUGGUCCGAAGAUCUCCACUCCGAAGGACGGCGUCAUCACCAAGCCCGGGCUAUCGUUGCCAGGGUCUUCCCCGGGAAUCUGGCUCGGGCAGGCGGCUUCAUCUGGUCACCCCGAGGCCUCGGCCGGCUGUCCGCCGCGGACAUCAGCCCGACCCGAGGCCUCGGCGGGUCUAUUCCGGCAUCGGUCCCGCUAACGGGCAACCCGGCCAGGCUCCGGCCGACCAGGUCUCCUUUUCGGGCCAACUCUGCCUCUGUUCAUGCUGACACCGCUACCCCCGGCCUUGGCUCAUCGAAGGGCGGCCGAGGGGUUCCUUUAACCGAGCAAGAGAAGCCUCGGGCAACAAGGCCGACCGAGCCGAGGGACUCCUAAGCCUCCGGGAUACGGAUACCUCACUCGUCACCUUUGCACGGGGCGACUCAGGCUUGGUGAAGCGGUUCAGACAACCAACAGGCGAGUCUUAAUGCUCGAAAAUGAGGAAAAAACACGGCUCCGUGCCGAAAUUACAUACAUGUUCAGGCCUCGACAGCCACAAUGAACAAAAACAGUGGCAUUCAAAGUGCCAUUACAAACGGAACUCCGGUUCCACCUCCGCAGGUAUGAACAACCCCACUUGAUGGGGGGCCUGCGGAGCAACAGAAGACUGACGAGCGGCUCGCCGCCGCCCGCUCUGACAGCAGCAACAACGACCCCCGCUCCGGGUGGCCGGACUGCAGCAGCAUAGGCCUCAGGGCCGGUGCUGCCGCAAUCUUGCCCUCGCCCACUCUGACGCUCGAGGGGCGAGGACAAGUACAAAGAGCCGGAGGCCCGAAGCGCGGAUGGUGGCGGUGAUCCCGUCGGCAACGGGGACUUCUUGAGCCGCCUCCACCUCGGCAUCGACGACAGGGGCCGUCAGCCCUCCGGCAGAUCCCCACUCAGAUCCUCCCAGACGAGUGGGGCACCGACCUCCGCGCGGAGGUGCCAAUACCGGUGAAAAGGCAGGACCGCCCCAGAACACGAACGCCGCCCUAGCAGCGCGCGACAUCUUGGGCGGUCCUCCCGUGCACACGGCGCGGCAGCCGCCUUUCUGGCAGGAGGGGGCACCGGGGGCCAAGCCGACGAGCUCGACACGCUGAAGCUGACGACACCCGCCGUCGACCAGCCCCGCGUUGUCGAAGUCCGACCCGCACGCAGGGCCAGUGAGCGCCCUCUCCCUCGAACGUCGCAGGAGAGGGUGACCCACGAACCCGCGCGGGAGGUAGAGCUCCGGCUCAGCCCGGCCUCCACCCCAGCAAGGAUGAUGAACAUCCUUGAAGCUGAGGGUGGGACCAAGAUUGCAGCCCGGCUUGCUUCACCCCACCCAGGGGCUGGUGGUCACCGUCUUGGGUGACCGCCGGCGGGGGGGGGUACAGCCGGGCUGGCUGAUGAAAAUCCUUGAAGCCGAACGAUGGCUGAAAGGUACCAACUCCCACGGAGUUGCGUUCCUCCAACGACGAGGCAGAAAGACGGCGGGUAUCCCCCAUCCGGGGGCUUGGAAGGUGGAAAGACACGAUGCAUAAGGGAGCGCGAAGACAUGGUCGCCUUCCAAGGGGUCACCCUCCUUUUAAAGGCGACUCUCCCUACUUGCGUCCCCAGCCGUCGCGGGCUGAGUCUUCUCCAACACGCUCCAAGGUCCUCCCCUGCGGCGCGGGGGCUGGGUCCCACACGUCAUGCAAGCCGGCUCAGAGCAGAAGAAGCCAAACCGUCGUGCGCGGUGCGCACGACCGCCCAGCGGUUACAAGCGACUCUCCACUUUUGCCCAGACCAACGGGCGAAAGGGGCGGGCAGCCAUGCAGGCGGCAUGCAACCGCGCCAAGUGGGCGCGCUUCUCUGACUCCCAACACGCCCAGCAUGGAGGCCCAGGCCCACGCGUCAUGCAACCGACGCGCCGAAUGCUUCGUGCAUGCAACUGCACUGCCACUUGCGCCACCACCGCGCCGCCUCGACUGCGGAACCAAUACCGCGACUCGAGGCGACCCAGCGCACGACCCAGUAGCGCCAGCCUGGCGCGAGGGUCAAUGCAGCCAAAAACGGGCCGGCAGUAAUGGCGGUGGCAGGCGGGCAGGGGCAGCGGUCACGUCGCCAGCCAAGCCUACGUCCCAUCCGGGGGCAACGAGAGAACCCUCUCUCACGGCGUGAAGACAACGCGUCUAUGUUCCGUUCCUCGAACGGCUCGCGCACGCGCAACGACUGCCCCACCAACCACUCGCCCCAUCGCAUUAACUCCGCGGCAGGACAGGCGGCGCCUCUGGCAGGAGAAGCGGGCGACGCUUUGCCUUCGCCAUAAUAACCGCGUUAGAAGAGGUACGCCGCGUCGUUCGAUUUCGUAUCCUUCCCCUUUUUCCUCUUUCUCUCUCUUGCAACAGGGAAAGGGAAAGGGGGAUACCCCGAAAAGGAUCCAUCCCCAUGAAGGAACCAGGCUCCGAGCCUCCCUACUGAUCAGAGGUUCGAGGCUGGCCCCUCGAAAGGGUUCGACAGCCGCCUCAGAUCACGUGGGCCCUACACCCACUACUGGUCAGAGGUUCGAAGGCCGGCCCCUCGGAAGGGUUCAACGACCGCCUCAGGCUACUCGGGCUCCGCGCCCACUACUGAUCAGGGGUUCGAAGGCUGGCCCCCGAAGGGUUCACAACCGCCUCAGACAUAGAGCGAGGGAUGACCAUGGGUACGUUCGAUACAUAACCAAGGCUCGGGCUGCGCUCCCGAGGUACCCUAGGACAUUUCCGAGACCAGCGGGAACGAUCUUGUAACAGAAUCCCAUCAGAGGGAGGCAUCGAGCCCUCGGACCCCGUCGCCAGGGGACCGGGUCCGGCAGAUCACCCGCAGGUACUUUUGGGCGUGCCUCUGGGCCCCUAGCCGACCGCUAACGAAUGGGGCACGGACGUCCACUCGGAUUACCCGCCUGCAGCUCACCGGAAACACCAUGUUCGGCGCCCAUCGAGGGCAACAUGGCGCUUUCCCCCCUCCUCCUUGCGGAAAGGCGACGCAGGGGCGUAUGUAAAAAGUCGAGUCUGUCCCUGAUCGCCCUCUCGCCCUGUGCAGAGGCUCAGGGGCUGCUCUCGCGAACAUGGCUCCGGCCGAACCGUUGACAGUGUCAACAUACCAGCCCGAGAACUUGGGACCCGACCGUACACCCGGGCUACGGCCAGCUCGUAUGACGGAACGAUCAGACCAGCCGAAGCGUUACUCAAGGCAUUAAGACCUCGAAGGAGUGAAACCACUCCUCCGUGGCCUCGGGGGCUACACCCAGCGGGUGCGCUCGCGCGCACCCACCGGAACAAAACGUAACCGAGAAAGGCUGGUCCCCUUGCAAAAAAGUGCGAUGAAAGCCUCCAAGCGAGUGCUAACACUCCCUUCGAGGCUCGGGGGCUACUGUCGGGGACCAUAAUUAGGGGUACCCUCAAGGCUCCUAAUUCUCAGAUGGUAACCCCCAUCAGCGUAAAGCUGCAAAGGCCUGAUGGGUGCGAUUAAGUCAGGGAUCAGUCCAUUCGAGGGACUCGAUCGCGCCUUGCCCGAGCCUAGCCUCGGACAAGGGCAGCCGACCCCGGAGGAUUUCCGUCACGCCCGAGUCCCCCCUCCAGCGGCGAAUGUAUUUCCGUCUCGCCCGAGGCCCCGUCUUCGCCAAGAAGCAACACUGACCAAAUCGCCGCACCAACCGACCAAAUCGCAGGAGCAUUUAAUGCAAAGGUGGCCUGACACCUUUAUCCUGACGCGCGCCCCCCAGCCAGCAGAGCCGAAGUGACCGUCGUCACUUCGUCGCUCCACUGACCGGCCUGACAGAAGGACAGCGCCGCCUGCGCCACUCCGACUGCAGUGCCACCUGACACAGUGAGGCUGACAGGCAGUCAGGCCCGGCCGAAGACACCAUAGGAAACUCCGCUCCGCCCGACCUAGGGCUCGGACUCGGGCUAAGUCCUAGAAGACGACGAACUCCGCUCCGCCUGACCCAGGGCUCAGACUCGGGCUAAGUCCCAGAAGACGACGAACUCCGCUCCGCCCGACCCAGGGCUCGGACUCGGGCUAAGUCCCGGAAGACGACGAACUCCGCUCCGCCCGACCCAGGGCUCGGACUCGGGCUAAGUCCCGGAAGACGGCGAACUCCGCUCCGCCCGACCCAGGGCUCGGACUUGGGCUCAGCCCCAGAAGACGACGAACUCCGCUCCGCCCGACCCUAGGGCUCGGACUCCGCCCUGGCCUCAGCCGACGGUCUCCGCCUCGCCUGAACCAGGGGCUCGGACUCGACCUCGACCAUGGAAGACAUACUCGACCUCGGCCUCGGCCUCGGAGGAGCUUCCACAUCGCCCAACCUAGGGCACAGACCAGCCACUUCGACAGGAGGCGCCAUCAUCACCCUACCCCGAGCUGACUCGGGCCACGGGGUACAAGACCGUUGUCCCAUCUGGCUCGCUCCGCCAGAUAGGCAAUGAUGGCGCCCCACGUAUCCUGUGACGGCGGCGGCUCUCAGCCCCCUUACGGAAGCAAGAGGACGUCAGCAAGGACUCGACAGCCCCAACAGUUGUCCCUUCGCCAGGCUCCAGCACUCCUCCGACGACCACGACAUCACACCAACUGGGUGCCAAAUUCUCUCCGGCUGCCACAACGGCAUGUACUUAGGGCAGUAGCUCUCCUCCGCUAGACACGUAGCACUCUGCUAUACCCCCCUAUUGUACACCUGGAUCCUCUCCUUACGCCUAUAAAAGGAAGGACCAGGGCCCUCUUAGAGAGGGUUGGCCGCGCGGGGACGAGGACGAGACAGGCGCUCGCUUGGAGCCGCUCGCUCCCUCUCCCGCGUGGACGCUUGUAACCCCCUACUGCAAGCGCACCCGACCUGGGUGCGGGACGAACACGAAGGCCGCGGGAUUCCCACCUCUCUCACGCGGUCUCCGGCCGCCUCGCUCUCCCCCCUUCGCGCUCGGCCUCGCGCUCGACCCAUCUGGGCUGGGGCACGCGUCGACAUUCACUCGUCGGCUCAGGGACCCCCCGGUCUCGAAACGCCGACACCAUCAGAUCAAGAUCCGUGCCAGUGAUAUUCCCAAGAUGGCUUUCUCAACCAGACAUGGGCUUUAUGAGUUUUUGGUGAUGUCUUUUGGGCUGACCAAUGCCCCGACCUAUUUUAUGUACCUGAUGAACUCAGUAUUCAUGCCAGAGUUGGACAAGUUUGUGGUCGUUUUCAUUGAUGAUAUUUUUCUCUAUUCCAAGAAUGAAGACGAACAUACUGAGCAUCUGCACAUCGUGCUUCAGCGGCUACGCGAUCAUCAUCUUUAUGCUAAGUUGUCUAAAUGUGAGUUUUGGCUGAAGGAAAUUAAAUUCUUGGGUCACACAAUUUCUCAGGAUGGGAUAUCAGUUGAUCCUGAGAAGGUGCAAGAGGUAAUGGAUUGGAAACCCCCGACUACAGUGAGGCAAAUUCAGAGUUUUCUGGGAUUGGCAGGGUAUUAUCGACGAUUUAUUCCGGAUUUCUCCAGAAUUGCCAAACCAAUGACUGAACUGUUAAAGAAGGGAGUCAAGUAUGAUUGGAGCCAAAAGUGUGAAGAUGCCUUUCAUACUUUGAGGCAGCAUUUGACAACAGCCCCGGUGCUGGCUCAACGUGAUAACACCAAGCCAUUCGAGGUUAUUGUGAUGCUUCUGGUACGGGAUUGGGAUGUGUCUUAAUGCAAGAUAACAGAGUCAUUGCAUAUGCUUCCCGAGCACUCAGACCCCAUGAGCAGAACUACCCUACACAUGAUCUGGAGUUGGCAGCUGUGGUUCAUGCCCUUAAGAUAUGGAGACACUACUUGAUGGGAGCUCACUGUAACAUUUACACUGAUCACAAGAGUCUCAAAUACAUCUUCACUCAGGCAGAUCUAAACAUGAGGCAGAGAAGAUGGUUAGAAUUAAUCAAGGACUAUGAUUUGGAGGUGCAUUACCAUCCUGGCAAAGCCAAUGUUGUGGCAGAUGCCUUGAGCAGAAAGGCCCAGUGCAAUUGUAUGAACAUGGAUGCGAGAGUUACCACCCUGUGUGAUGAGUUGUGCAAAUUGAACCUGGAAGUUGUUUCUUCUGGUGACCUAAACUAUAUCUUGGUGGAGCCCACAUUGCAAGAGCAAAUAGUUAGGGCACAGAUUGAAGACAAGGGUGUUCAGGUGAUCAAGGAAAUGAUCAAGCAAAAGGCAGAAAAAUACAAGUGCUUCCGGCAGGACAGCAAGGGAAUUUUAUGGUUUGGAGAUCGAUUGGUUGUUCCCAAGGACCCUGAACUCAGAAAGAGAAUAUUGGAUGAAGCUCACCUUUCCAAAUUCUCCAUGCACCCUGGUAGCAACAAGAUGUAUCAUGAUCUCAGAUCCUUAUACUGGUGGACCAGAAUGAAGAGGGAAAUUGCCAAGUACAUAUCCGAGUGUGACACUUGCCAGAGGAUAAAAGCUAGUCAUUUGAAGGCAGCAGGCCCUUUGCAACCCCUUCCCAUACCAUCUUGGAAAUGGGAGGACAUUUGCAUGGACUUUAUCGUGGGAUUGCCCAAUACCUCCAGGCACCAUGAUUCCAUUUGGGUUAUUGUGGACAGGCUGACCAAGACCGCUCAUUUCUUGCCAGUACACACCACCCUCAGGAUAGAGAAGUAUGCAGAGAUCUACAUUGACCAGAUAGUUUGUCUGCAUGGGAAACCAAAGACUAUAGUCUCAGACAGAGGAGCACCAUUUGUGGCACGAUUUUGGGAACAAUUACAGGAAUCACUUGGGACCCAUGUCAUACGAAGCUCAGCAUACCAUCCCCAAACAGAUGGCCAGACAGAAAGGGUAAACCAGAUUUUGGAAGACAUGUUAAGGGCAUGUGUACUACACUACGGAAAGGAUUGGGACAAGUGUCUUUCCUUGGCAGAGUUUUCGUAUAAUAACAGCUACCAGUCUAGUCUAAAGAUGGCACCUUUUGAAGCCUUAUAUGGGAGAAGGUGUAUGACCCCGCUGAAUUGGUCUCAAGCAGGAGAGAGGGAAAUUUUUGGGCCAGAUUUGGUACUUGAAGCAGAGGCAAAGGUCAGAAUCAUCAAGAAGAACUUAGAAGCUGCUCAGGCCAGACAAAAGAGCUAUCAUGACAAGAGACGGAAGCCUCUGCAAUUCAAGGUUGGAGAUCAUGUUUAUCUUAAGGUAUCACCCACCAAGGGUGUCCAGAGAUUCAGAAUUAAGGGCAAGUUAGCUCCUCGUUACAUUGGACCCUACGAAAUCAAGGAAGCUUGUGGACCCGUAGCCUAUCAAUUGGAAUUGCCACCUCACAUGUCAGCAGUUCACAAUGUAUUUCAUGUAUCUCAGCUGCGGAAAUGUGUCCGCCUACCCACUGAAGUGCUACCUGAGCCAGACAUUGAGAUAGAGCCAGACUUGUCCUAUCAAGAGUACCCCAUCAAGGUGUUGGAUCAGAAAGAAAGAUCGACUCGGGCAAGGUCGAUCCGAAUGUAUAAGGUUCAGUGGAGUCACCAUUCAGCAGAAGAGGCUACAUGGGAGACUGAGGAUUUUCUACGCUCUCGCUUCCCCGACUUUCUGCCCAAAGGAGUCGGUACGUAACCCAAAACACCCACCCCCACCUGCCCUUUGAAUACAAUUAUAAGAAAAACUUAGAUAGCAAGGAUAGUCUAAGUUGCAGAUUUAACUUAAAAAGGUCUUCCUUCGGAAGUUGCAAAGAGAAUGACAUUCGAAGAGCAGUUAACUAGAGAAACUUGAACAAAAGAAGGAACACCGCACCAACGUGCCUUCGUAGCACCCCUCUAAGAGGACUCUGCCUAAAAUCUCGGGACGAGAUUCCUUUAAGGGGGAAGGGCUGUAACACCUCAAGUGUUACCCUGGCUAGAGCACAUCUAUGCCCUAAUGACUGUGAUCACAUGUGGUAGAAAACUUGAGAAGAACAUAAGAACCUUGGAGACCAUGUGUUAAUCAAGAUUGUAAAUGACCUAAGAGCAUCACUCAAGCUUUUGUGCACUCACUACCUUGGACAAGAGGAGAGUAAACCCUAGACCUCUCUUGAACCCUAUCUUCCAAAACCAUGGUUGAGAGGGGGAGAGAAUAAGCAAUUGUGCAAAUCAUGAGUUAAUCUUUAACCAAACUUUAAGUAACUUUAUAACCAGCAAUUAUGGGAAGGUAAUAUUGCACAAAGACCCCUGGAGAAACCCCAAAUCCAUUCCUUAAGUGGAAAGAGAGCUAGAGCUCACUAAUUCUCUCUAAGUCAAAAACUACACCUACACUAAAGAUCAACCGUGUUCACCUUGAAGAUGGCACCAAAACCACCUAUGUUCUAUACCAAAAAUGUGGCAUACCACCUAGGGCACCCACUGGAAAAAGCUGAGGCUUAGACCUUGACGUUUGACAUGCCUUGGCAUGGUUUUUGUCGCGAGGUGGGCAGAGUGACAUACCUGAUUUGGCGUCCGAAGAUCUCCUUACCUAGGGCAUAUCUGCCAUGGAGACUCACGGAUGAGAGACAACCCUAGGUGCCAGGAAAAGACUCGCGCUGGAUUUUUGCCAAGAUUCGCACGUUUGCGACUUGGGCGAGCUGUGGAACACGGGCAGAAGAAAAGCUCCACGUGUUCGACGCGCUCUGUGCACGCCAGAGCAUGCCCACGCGCGCCCCGCGUCGCGCCAAGGGCCAGCCGACGCCAUGACCCGCGCCCGCGCCUAUAAAGCCCACUCAGGCGUCGACCACACUCUUCCGCACAUGCUCAAACCUUACCGGAGCUCAACUCACCGUCGUUUGCCCGUGCACGGCGUGUCCGCGGCCACACGAGCCCCUGCCGCCGUAGACCGGCCAGCCCAGCCUUUCCCAACCCCGUCCGACCCUCGGAGACGAGUGAGCACACCUCAGUGAAGCUCCCCGAGCGAGGAAUCGAAGUCAGCUUCGCCGGAGAGGCUAGUCCACGGUCGCCGGAGUUCACAACCCCGCCGGAGAGCGUGGACCGGGUAAUCCACUGAACCAUUUUCCGAUUCCUUGUGCACACAGUCUCUACGUCACCCCGUGGAGCUCACCGUGCCAUUGGAUUGAACCAGAUCGCCGUGAUUUGGCCGGCACACCCACCGCCGACAAAGACACCCGCUUGCGCACGUGGACCGAGCGAUUCCGGCCAUCCCCGCCGUCGAGCCGUACAUCGCCGUGACCGCCAGAGCCUCCCCGAGCCAACCCCGCCCCUCGCCGGACCUCUCUCGCCGCCGGUAAGCCGCACCACCCUUUUCUUUCUUGCGGGUACUGUUUAAACCUAGGGAAGGACUGCGGGGGAGAAGGAAAGAAGUAGUUUGGAAAUAACCCAGGGUCCUCGGUGUAAACUGUUUUUCCAGAAACCCUUUAUUAAAUCUGAUUUUAAAUUUGAACAGAACUUUAAUAAUUCAUAACUUCUGUUUUAUUCAUCCAAAUUUAGUCAUACCAAUUUUGUCAGACUCUAAAUAAUGUAAAUUACUUAGGAAAAAUAUGAAACCCCUAUGUACUACAGAAAACUUUAGGGUUCUGAUUUAAUUAUUGUUUUGACCAAAAGCUAAAUAAUGGGGAUAAAAAUAGUUGCACUAUUUGACUAGGGUUAGAAAAAAAUUGGAGAAGUUUAUAUCCACCUAGUGACCUGUUUAAAAAUGCUAAACUUCCCUGUCCAACCCAUUAAGUUAGUUUUUGCCAUUUAUUUUACAAUAUUCUUAAGGUUAAGAAAAAUAGAAAAGGUGAUUUAAAUAAUGAACCAGAGAGCACCCCUAUUUUUGUUAGAGUACUUAUUUAAUGUAGUUUACUAGAAAAAUCUAUUAUACCCUGGUUUAAUAUGAAAUAAGUAGGAUCCCUUUUAUUUUAAGAAAACAAGGAAAACUUAGAAAAACCCUACAAAAAUAACCCCAAGGUGGAAACACCCCAACCCUUGGGAUAAUUAAUAUUUUGUUAUUAAGAACUUAGGAAAAAUAUGAAAUCUGCUGUUUGACAUUUUUCAAACAAAAUGUAGUAGAAAGUGUCUUCUUGGCAUUUAACUUUAGAAAAUCACAACUCAAUGACCAUCCCUUAGCUUUCUGUGAUUUUGGGCACAUAAGCCUAUUAUUACUGUUAGAUGCCAACAAAAAUAACCCUUAGGGCAGAACCCAACCCUAAUUAGGAGAUGUAGUGCAAAGUGGCCCAUUUUACACAACUUUUGUUAUUUUUGUCUAAAGCAUAGCCUUUUUAUUUUAAACCUCAAAUUCCAAGAACAGGCUAUAACGACCAAUGGCAACCCACUGUAAUUUUUACAGAAUUUUUGGAAAAUAUUAAACCACCGUCGUAGUUCAAACCUACACUAGAAACCAUAAAUAGAAAAUAAAGAAAGGGAAAAAUGAGUAAUAGGAAAUUAGUGUCAUCCUAAAACCCUUUAUAACUUGUCCACUGAAAUAUAUAGAGGCAAUGCAAAUUCCCUGUGCCUACCCCUAGCAAAACCUAAACCUAGAGUGAUAAUCAUAAACCACUAAAAGCCACGUAUGACUAAGAAACCCUAUGUUACCCAUUAACUUAGUUUUUCUUCCUUUAGCAUAAUGUUAUUAAAUCCUGCAUAAUCAUGACAUACAUGUUCAUUGCAUCUCGAUAGACUGUAACCUCGCUGACGGAGAGUACGUCCUCGUGCCGGAGCAAGGAGCUGCUGAGGAGGUAGCCCCGGAUUCAGCACCCGAGUCUGCACCAGAGGAUCUGCCUACCACAGCCUUGGAAGGCAAGCCCCGGUUUAUGCAUAACCUGUUAAUUAUGCUAUUUUACUAUACUUAAUGAUUGUAGGAUUGAUUGUGCACUUAAGUGUAGGAGUUGUUUGAAACCCUAGUUGCAUGAUCUCAGGAAUCCCAUUGAAAUGAAUACUAGCAUGCUAAGUCGAGUAGCUGCUUUAUUAAUUAGGAUCUCGGUAGAAGUCGAGUGAUUUUUCUAGCACUCGCGCGAGGUCAGGAAUUGGCAGUAUCCACUUUCUUAUCAUAUUGAUGUUGGUUUGUGGGCAACCAUCCAUGGGGAUUGGUUGUCUACAAGAUAAAAAUUGGAAUAAGGAUUAAGGUGUGGUACCAUGAGUCAAGCGUUGAACGUACUAAGCACAUGCCGAGAAAUAUGGUAAAUCGGUAAGCCUAGUACCUGAUUGAACCUGGCAGUAGACUUUACCCCUCACGCGACCUGAGACGUGGUCUCCCAUUCCGGUUAUGGUGGGUACAAGUGCGGUCACUGCACGACGGCAGUCGGGGUCAGUGAGGCAUUGUACGCCAAGGCGGUGAGCCCUGAUCUACUGACGAGGAAUCGAUGGGGACGGUUGAUAUGUGUGGGGACGGAGUGCCCCUACAUGUCGUGUGUUUAGGUUUACCUUGCAAGGAUAAAAACUCGAUUCGAAUCGUCUGCUUCUCGCAGCUAAUGAGACUGCUUGAUCCAUGCUGCUACAUUGAGUAACAAGUGGAAAUGUGAUGAGUUGAUAAAAGAGGUUGAUUGCUAAAAAUGUUUGAUACCAUGUAUGAGUAGAUAGUACACCUUUAGCCUUAAGAGAGACACACUUAAAUUUGACAAAGUUAAAACUUGACUUAGAAACUCAGCUAGUGCUUUUGGCAACCAAACCCCACAGCAAAACAGCUGCAUGUCUAGAGGUAGAGGAGUAGACUCCUCACACCGGGUAAGUCUAGCUGAGUAUUAGUAUACUCAGCCUUGCUUGUGGCAUAAUUUUACAGGUUCUCUCAAGGACAUGGUUGCUGGAGUGACUUGGCCGUCCAUCUUGCCACCGGGUUGGACUGUCGAGUGGGACCCUACCUCGGCUGAGGAGGAGCAUGAGGAGUGAUGGGACAGGCUUCCCCAUCUCUCUGUUUAUUUACCGUUAGUUUUAUUCCGCUCCACUUCGAACAAUGAUGACUACUUUUGCAAAACUCCGAUGAUGAUGUAAUAAUUUAAUACUCUUUAAUGCAUGGUUUUAUGCUUUAUUGUAUUUGCUCUGUGACUCACCAUCGAGUGAGAUUGUGGUACUUGAUCCUGUCAGUGGCCGUGUCGGACUAGAUCCGAGGGAUUGACGGGUUAUUCCCAUUUAAGUGUGGUCUAGCCUCUAAGGCGGGACUUAGCCACUUAAGUUGGAAUAAUUCGGGCAGUUCCGCCACACCACGGUGGUCUUCGGCCUCUUGCCAUGCUGCGCCUUGGCCGUUUCCGUUUGGAAGAUCGGUGCCCCUCUCCCGUGGAUUUGAAGCCUAGUCGCUAGGCGCUGCGUAGAGUGGGGGGGGACGAAUCCGUGCGACGCUGUAACACCCCAGGUGUUACUUAGAGUUUUCACUCAAGGCUACACAAGUAAGCCCAUCAUCACAUGUGACUUAAGUUGGGAAAAGUACACCAAAUUUGGAACUCAAGAUCCUAAGUAAGUGCAACCCAUCUUAGGGUCAUACCAUGGCUUGUCAUGCACAUAUAAUGGGGAGAGUUGCCCAAACCCUAAUUCAAACCCCUUUGGACAAUUGGAGCACUAGAAGUAAGUAUGAACAAAAGGGUAUGAAAACCACAUGAUCAUGACUUGGGCCAAUUAUAAAAGAUGUAGUACACUUAAUACCCUACAAAUGAUAGUAAGAAAGUGACCCCAAAAAGAAUUCAGAAAAGCCCCAAAAGGUUCACCAAAGGGUUGAGCAUAAGAGAAAAAUCAGAAUUCUUCUAAGUCCAAAACCACCCCUUUUCCAAAGAUCAAACAUGUUCACCCUCUUUCAAACUUCAAAACCAUUUGACCCAAUUGACAAAGUGGCGCCAAAAUACCUCUAGAACACCCUGGAAAAGGUUGAACCCAACCCUAAGUCGUUUGACAUGACUUGGCACAAGAUUUGUCUCGGUAUGGACAGCUAGGACAAAGGCAACUUCCCACACCCAUAUCUCUCAAACCCGACCACAUCUAACCUUGGAACGCACAUGAACUAUGUAGCCCUAGGUGCAGGGAAGAGAUCGCUCACAGGUCUUAGGGCAAGAUUCACACGUUUUGGCCGCUCAGCAGUGGGUAGAACAAGAACAGAAACAAAGAGCCACGUGUUCGACGCGCUCUGAGCUCGCCAGAGCAUGCCCAACGCGCGCCCCCGAGUGCCCUGCGUCGCGCCAAAGCCGAGUCGGCGCCGUUGCCCAUGCUCGCGCCUAUAAAGCCCCCAGGGACUUCGACCGUACUCCCCCGCGCGCGCUCGACCUCACCGGAGCACCAGAUCACCGGCGCAGACCCGCGCACGGCGUGCCCGCGGCCACCCGAUCCCCCGCCACCGUAGACCAGCCAACAGAGCCUCUCCCAGCCGCGUCCGACCCUCAGAGGAGGUCGUGCAUGCCUCGGUGAAGCUCCCCGAGCAAGGAAUCGAACCUUGUCUCGCCGGAGAAGCCAGUCCAUGGUCGCCGGACUUCACCCGACCGCCAGUGAAUGUAGAGAGAGCUCCACGGUGAGUUGUUCUUCAAUUCCUUGCACGAGUCGACUAAUCAACACCCCGUGAUGCUCCCCGUGCCCUUGGAUUGACCUAUGUCGCCGUGGUUAGGCCGGAGCACUCGACGCCGACGAGUUCACCCGGCUGCGCACGUGGACCAGCUGAUUUCGACCAGCACCGCCGUCGAGCCGUACCUCGCUGUGACCGCCAAAACCUCCCGGAGCCAACCCCACCCCUCUCCGGACCUCCCUCGCCGCCGGUAAGCCGCGCCGCCCUUUUUACUUUCGCGGGUACUAUUUAAAUCAGGGGAGGGACCACGGGGGAGAAGACGUAAAGGCCAGGGGGUUUUGUUCACUGUCAGCGACUCAAGGGAAUAGUGGCGCAGGGGUAUAACUGAAGGGAUUAGUUUAGAAAGAACCCAGGGUCUUCGAUGCAAAGUGGAUUUCCAGAAAACCCUUUUUAAUAUUCUGAUUUAAAUGCAAACAGAACUUGAAAAAUUCAUAACUUCAGUUUGGUUCAUCCAAAUCGAGUCAAACCAAUUUUUCUAGAUCCUAAAUGAUGUAAACUACUUAGGAAAAAUAUAAAAUCCCUAAGUGUUGCAGAAAAUUUCAAGGUUAUGAUUUAAUUAAUUAUCUGGUCAGAAGCUAGAGAAAAUAACGAAAAAUAGCAACACUAUUAGACUGGGAUUAAGAAAAUUCAGAGAAGUACUUAAUCACUUCCUAACCUGUUUAAAAAUAAUAAACCCCUCUGUACACCCAAUUAAGGUAGGGUUUGCCCUUUAAAUCAUUUUCAGCUUAAAGUUAAAGAAAAUAUAAAAGGUAGUUUAAAAUAAGAACCAGGGAGCACCCACAAUUUUGUUAGCUCUCUUAUUCAGUAUAGUUUACUAGAAAAUUUUAUUAUACCCUUGUUUAGUACAAAAGAAAGGAGAUACCUUUUAUUUUAGGAAAACAAAGAAAACUUAAAAAAUCCUAGAAACAUAACCCUGAGGAGAAAACACCCCAAACCUUGGGAUAACUAAUGUUUUGUUAUUAUAAACAUAGAAAAAUUAUGAGUUCUGUUGUUUGACAUUUUUCAAAUAACAAGUUAGUUGUAAGUGUUUUUUAGCAUUAAACUUUAGAAAAGCAUAACUAAAUAACCACUAAGUAACCUUCUGUGAUUUUCGACACAGAAGCAUGUUAUUACCUAUAGAUACCAGCAAAAAUGACUCUUAGUACAGAACCUACCCCUAGAUAAGAGUUGUAGUGCAAAGUGACCCCUUGCCCCAACUUUUGUCUAGAGAUUAUUCGAAUUAUUCUGGCCCUCAAACUUAUAGGAUAGACUACAGUAACUAAUAGUAAACCACUGUAAUUUUUACAGAAUUUUUGGAAAAAUUUAAAUCACUGUUGUAGUUCAAACCCACCCUAAAAAUUCAUAAAUAGAAAAUGAAAAGGGGAAUUAAUAGUGGAGACUAAUGUUACCCUAACCAAACCAGAAGAACCCUUGAGUGCCUACUAAAACAUUUAAGAGGCAAUCCAAGUCUUAAUCCAUUAUGCUUAGGCAAAAUCUCAAACCUAAAUUGGUAAGCAUAAACCACUAAGAGCCUCGUAUGCCAAGGAAACCCUAAGUUACUAACUAACUUGGUUUUUCUUCACUAGGCAUAAUUGUUAAUAAAUUUUACAUACCAUAGCAUGCAUAUAUCUUAUUCAUUGCAUUCGAUAGAUUGUAACCUCGCGGACGGAGAAUACAUCCUCGUGCCGGAGCAAGGAGUUGCUCAGGAGGUAGCCCCGGAUCCAGCGCUAGAGCCUGCCCCAGAGGAUCUGCCUGCCUCAACUUUGGAAGGCAAGCCCCGGUUUUACGCAUAACCUAUUUAUUAUGCUAUUUUACUACACUUAAUGAUUGUAGGAUUGAAUGUGCACUUAAGUGUAGGAGUUGUUUGAAACCCUAGUUGCAUGAUCUCAGGAUUCCUUUUGUGAUGGAUACUAGUAUGCUAGGUCGAGUAGCUGCUUUAUUAAUUAGGGAUCUCGGCAGAAGUCGAGUGAUUUUUCUAGCACUCGCACGAGGUCAGGAAUUGGUUGUAUCCAUUUGAUAUCGCAAUGAUGGUGGUCUGUGGACAACGGUCUAUGGGGAUGUGUUGUCUACGAGACGGAAAUUGGAAUAAGGAUUAAGGUGUGGUACCGUGAGUCAAUCAUUUGAACGUACUAAACAUAUGCCGAGAAAUAUGGUAAAUCGGUAAGCCUAGUACCUGAGUGAACCUGGCAGUCGACACACUAGUAGAAAAAGACUCAAAGCCUGCGGUGCGUUAUAUUUUUAUAGGCGGAUUCGGUUAUCAACCGUCUGUGCUAUUUCUAGAGGUGGUUCCUUAUGAAAACCGCAUGUAGAAAUCUAUGAUUUCUAGUGGCGGUUUUCUUAAGAAAUCGCCUGUAGAAAUCGAUUUCUAGUGGCGGUUUUCUUAAAGAACCGCCACUAGAAAUCGUUUUUAUCCUUAAUUUUUCGAGUUUUUCAAACGACCUCGUAUGAUAAAACUAUCAAAAUAAAAUUUGUAGAUCUCUAAAAAUUAUAAAACUUUGUAGUUGAUAACUUUUUUAUUUGAAAUCAUUUCGGCUCUCAAAAAUUGUAUCUAAAUUUUUCAAAUUUAAAAUUCAAAUUUUGCAAACGAUCUCGGAUGAAAAAAGUGCCAAAAUGAAAGUUUUAGAACUUCAAAAAUUAUUCAACUUUGUAGUUGACAACUGUUUUUUUUGAAUUAGUUUACGGUCUCAAACAAGCAAUUUACACUCAGUUAGUUGUAAUAUGUGGGAAACAAAACUACACACUAAACACAAAGCAUGCCAUAUCCGGAGUGAUAGAGGAGGGUACGAGUGAGGCUGAGGUCAGGGGUUCGAUUCCUAGCAACUGUGUAGUGCAUGAAAAAUUCCGCGACCUGCGACUUCGACGGAGACGAACAGGUGGGUGGGCGGGCCGCGAGGUCUCCCAAAUAAAAAUAUUUUUUUUACUAUUUUUAAAAUAUGUUUUUUGUUUCCUGGAAACGAUUUUCACUGGCGGUUUUAUUACGCCGACCGCCAGUGAAAAUCGAUUUCCACUUGCGGUUCUCAGUUACCCGCCUGUAAAAAUGGUGAUUUCUACUGACCCCUAGCACUGGUGAUUACGAAAAACGCCACUGUAAAUAGGUUUACGACCGCCACUAUAGAGCUUAUCUAUACUAGUGACAUAUCCCCUCACGCGACCUGAGACAUAGUCUCCCAUUCUGGUUAUGGUGGGUACAAGUGCGGUCACUGCACGACGGCAGUCGGGGUCAGUGAGGCAUUGUACGCCAAUGCGGUGAGCCCUGAUCCGCUGACGGGGAAUCGAUGGGGACGGUUGAUGUGUGUGGGGACAGAGUGCCUCACCACGUUGUGUGUUUAGGUUUACCUUGCAAGGUUUAAAAACUCGAUUCGAAUCGUCUGCUUCUCGCAGCUAAUGAGACUGCUUGAUCCAUGCUGCUACAUUGAGUAACAAGUGGAAAUGUGAUGACUUGGCAAAAGUUGUUGAUUGCUAAAUGUUUGAUACCAUGUAUGAUUAGAUAGGUAUACAUUUAGUCUUAAGAGAGUCACACUAAAACUUGACAAAGCUAAAACUUGAUUUAUAGACUCAGCUAGUGCUUUUGGCAACCAAACCCCUCAGCCAAACAACUCCAUGUCUAGAGGUAGAGGAGUAGACUCCUCACAUUGGGUAAGUCUAGCUGAGUAUUAGUAUACUCAGCCUUGCUUGUGGCAUAAUUUUACAGGUUCUCUGGAGGACAUGGUUGAUGGAGUGACUUGGCCGUCCAUCUUGCCACCGGGUUGGACAGUCGAGUGGGACCCUACCUCAGCUAAGGAGGAGCACGAGGAGUGAUGGGACAGGCUCCCCCAUCUCUCUGUUUAUUUAUCGUUAGUUUUAUUCCGCUGCAUUUCGAACAAUGAUGGCUACUUUUGCUAAAACUAUGAUGAUGAUGUAAUAAAUUUAAUACUCCUUAAUGUAUGGUUUUAUGCUUUAUUGUAUUUGCUCUAUGCCUCACCAUCGAGUGAGUAUGUGGUACUUGAUCCUAUCAGUGGCCUCGUCGGACUAGAUCCGAGGGAUUGACGAGUUAUUCCCAUUUAAGUGUGGUCUAGCCUCUAAGGCGGGACUUAGGCACUUAAGUUGGAAUAAUUCGGGCAGUUCCGCCACAGCUGGUAUCGGAGCUCGUACCACCACAGAUGAAUCAAUAAAUUAUAAAUACCAUCCUUUUUCAAAGUAAAACUUGGUAGAAACAAAUGUUGGAUAGAUCAUAGGAUGAUCAGGAUAGACCUAGGACGUGGAGCCUUAGGAUGAUAGAGGGGUAGCUAGGUGGCUAAUUGAGUAAGCCCUACAGGCUACUAUAAGGGAUGGGAGUUCCUUCCUAUUCCCUCUGAGUUGAUGUGAGGUCGUUUAGGACGAGCAUGCAUGCAUCAUGUAAUCAAACUACUUGGUAACUAGUUAAGAAUUUUAAAAUGAUACGAGGCAUAAUAACAAAAGAUAAAGUACACCAUGUAAUAUGGUUAUAACCCGAGAGAGGCCAAGUUUUGAUUCCUUUUUCUUUUAUACUUAUUUUUCUUUUUCACUUACGCUUAACCGUACACAGAUGACUUCUCACGGAUCCUCGGACGAAGGGAAUGCACAGUCCCACACGGACGGACUUGCACGAGAGGGUUUCCCCCGUAUCUUGUGGGAGGUACUUCAGGGAGCUGGUUACACGACGCCUCCCCAGUACGCGGUGCAGCUUUUCGAGAAGCACCGAGUGCCCCGCUGUAGGGUGAGGAUGACCCUAGAGCCUCAUCCCCUGCAGCCAGGCUGGCGUUCGCUGGACUCUGAGUCUUUUGGAUACAGGGCUAAGGAUACUAUCGAGGCGAUUGCUCUUCACGAGCUGACCACCUUCUGUGGUUUCCACCCCUUGGAGCUGUCCACUCACCCCAUUGGUUUGUUCCCCACGGAGAACGAGGACGACCCAAUAUGGAAGGAUCGAGUGGAGCAUGCCAAGGAUAUAUGGGCUAUCUACCCAGGUCAGAUUGCUCACUUGACGGUGCGGUGCAUGAAUGCCCUGUAUCGUCUGCAAGUGAUGCAAGGAGAGGCAAUAUCUCAUCUAAUGGCAUUAUUGGAGGCUACCAAGAUCACCUUGGACAACAGGGAGGAACUUAUGGUAGACUUGUCCACUGAGAUGAUGGAAAAAGACUUACAUGUGGAACAAUUGUCAACUGAGAUCCAAGAGCUUGAGGAGCUAGUGGGAACUAGGGAGAACACCAUUGAGGUUCUCGAGGAUCAGCUAAUCAACACUCAGCAGCAGCUUGUGGAGGCUAACCAGCAUCUGGAUAUGCACCACCAGGAGAUCCAGGACAUGGAGGCCAACGAGGAUGUCGACAUCGAGGGAGGAGAGGAGCCUGCCUCCAGCUUGGACACUGCUGGCUCAGGGAGACCACCAUCCCCCGAGUCGAGUGUUGCCUCGUUUGCUCACUAGGUCGUCGAGAUAGAGUUAGAAGUCUGUGGCGGUAGAACUCCUCGAAGAUAGCUUAGUUUUUGCACCCUUGGGUACUAGGCUAGAUAGAGUUGAGUCUUUUGAGUUAGUGAUGUAAUCAUGACAAACUCUUUUGGAAGUAUGGAUGAUGAAUGAUGUCAGCUUAAUUUAAGAAGAAAAGUUUAGGCCAUGUGGAAUCUUUUAUAAAUUAUGCAAGAAUAUAUAUUGGUUUUACUCCUUUGACUCUUUCACCACGAUUGAACAUUGAACCUCGGAAAUAUGAUAUUAAGAAUAUCCAUGAUUUUUCAGAUGGCAGGAAGAGCGCUUCGUGGUCAGAAUGAGCGCGUUCCUCCACCACCGCCACCGCCUCCUACUCUUCAAGAGUUGAUGGCUCAGCAGAACGAUAUUCUGCGACAGUUGGCGCAGUGUCAGCCGCCACCUCAACAUUAUGGUGGUGGUGAUCAUCAGCGUCACCCCGCAGCAGCCACUUAUCAGGAGUUCCUCAGUACCCAGCCACCGUUGUUCACCAGGGCAGAGGACGCACUUGAUGUUGAUGUAUGGCUGAGAGUAGUGGAAUCCAAAUUCCCGCUACUCCAUGGAGUUUGUUCGGAGGUGACAAAGGUCAGGUUCGCCACCCAGCAGCUUCGCGGACCCGCACGGACAUGGUGGGACCACUUUCUUGCUAUGCAGCCAGUUGACCAUGAGGUGGAAUGGAGAGAGUUCAAGGCAGCUUUCAGGGGGCAUCAUAUACCAGCGAGCAUUAUGGACCGCAAGCUCAAUGAGUUUCUGGCACUCACUCAGGGGAACUUGACAGUAUUACAGUAUGCUCAGACCUUCAAUGACCUGUGCCAGUAUGCCGGAUAUCAUGCAGACAUCGACGAGAAGAAGAGGGACAGGUUCAGGAGGGGGCUCAGCACUAAGCUCCGCGACCGUCUCAACACAGUCAGGACCAACAACUAUAAUGAGUUAGUCAACAUGGCCAUUUCUCAGGAGGACUGUAUCACAGCUCGUCAAGCAGAGAAGAAGAGGAAGACCCCUGUGUUAGGACCUUCAGCUCAGCCACAACGCUUCAGGAUCGUGUCUGACAUUCAGAACAGGGGACCCCAGCAGCAGCAAGGCCGUUGGGUGAUUCGACCCCAACAGCAGCAGAAGGCACCCAACCGCUCUCAGCCCCCAGUGCAGAGGAACAAUCAGGAGCAGCAGUACCGUCAGGCCAAUGACAACAGGUGUUUCACUUGUGGUAACACCGGACAUUAUGCCAAGAAUUGCCCCAGAAACCAGCAGAGGCAGGGACAGAAUGCCAACCAGAAUCAAGGCAAGAGGCAGAAGGUGCAAGUGAGGCAGGGCCGGCUGAACUUCACCACCAUGGCUGACAUUCCGGAGGGAGCGCCUGUCAUGACUGGUAUCUUUUCAGUUUUGAAUUAUUCUGCUAUUAUUCUUUUUGAUUCUGGUGCAUCACAUAGUUUUAUCAGUACCAAAUUUAGUGCCAAGUGCCAAUUACCUUUUCACCACACCAAUGGGGUAUUACAAUUUCAACACCAGGAGGCAGGGUUGCCACCUACCAAAUCAACAAGAAUGUGCCUAUAAAGUUUGGUAGUUUGAUAAUCAAAACCAACCUCCUCAUUUUGGGUUUGGAUAGCGUGGAUAUCAUAUUGGGAACUGACUGGUUAACCAAACAUCAGGCAGUGAUUGAUAUUGCAGCAAGGGCCAUUGAGGUGCACUCGCCUACUUGUGGUGAAACCACAUUAUAUUUGCCCGAUCAGGGUUGUACCUGUUCCUGUGCCUUCAUUAUGAUAGAGUCCCCAAUUGAGAGGAUCCCAGUGGUCCGUGACUACCCAGAUGUUUUUCCGGAUGAAUUGCCAGGGAAGCCACCCGAUAGAGACAUAGAGUUCGCAAUUGAAUUGCAACCCGGAACAGCACCUAUAUCUAAGAGACCAUAUAGGAUGCCUCCAGCAGAGUUAGCAGAGUUGAAAAAGCAGUUGCAAGAAUUGUUAGACAAGGGAUUCAUUCGCCCAAGUACUUCCCCUUGGGGAUGUCCAGCCUUAUUUGUAAAGAAGAAGGACGAGAGCUUGAUAAUGUGUGUUGAUUACCACCCUCUCAAUGCGGUGACCAUCAAGAACAAAUACCCACUGCCCCGCAUUGAUGUUUUGUUUGAUCAGUUGGUGAGAGCCAAAGUGUUCUCCAAGAUAGACCUUUGCUCGGGCUACCAUCAAAUCAAGAUUCGUGCCAGUGAUAUUCCGAAGACGGCUUUCUCUACCAGAUAUGGGCUUUAUGAGUUCUUGGUGAUGUCUUUUGGGCUGACCAAUGCCCCGGCUUAUUUCAUGUAUCUGAUGAACUCAGUAUUCAUGCCAGAACUGGACAAAUUUGUGGUGGUUUUCAUUGAUGAUAUUCUGGUCUAUUCCAAGAAUGAAGACAAGCAUACUGUGCAUCUACAAAUCGUGCUUCAGCGACUGCGCGAUCAUUGUCUAUAUGCUAAGUUGUCUAAAUGUGAUUUCUGGCUGAGGGAAAUUAAAUUUUUGGGUCACACAAUUUCUCAGGAUGGGAUAUCAGUUGAUCCUGAGAAGGUACAAGAAGUAAUGGAUUGGAAACCUCCUACCAUAGUGAGGCAGAUUCGGAGUUUUCUGGGAUUGGUAGGGUAUUAUCGACGAUUCAUUCCAGAUUUCUCCAGAAUUGCCAAGCCAAUGACUGAAUUGUUGAAGAAGGGAGUAAAGUAUGAUUAGAGCCAGAAGUGUGAGGAUGCCUUUCAUACGCUAAGGCAGCAUUUGACAACAGCGCUAGUGCUAGAUCAACCUGACAACACCAAGCCCUUUGAAGUUUAUUGCGAUGCUUCUGGUACUGGAUUGGGAUGUGUCUUGAUGCAAGACAACAGAGUCAUUGCUUAUGCCUCACAGGCACUCAGGCCCCAUGAGCAGAACUACCCCACACAUGAUCUAGAAUUAGCAGCUGUAGUUCAUUGUUGGAACUUGCUAUCAGGAGCAAGGGGAUCCAAUGGGGGUGAGUAUUGAUGUAAACAGGGUUCUCGCAUGAGAUGGCAAAAGCUCUGUUAAUCUGGCCUCUCAAGGGCACUGUGCGGGGGUAUUUACAGGUAUAUGAGUGCCCAGUGUCCUGUGUUAAGGACGCAUGUGCCCUCGGACACCUAGGUUAUCCCCGGAAUAUUCCCAUAAAGCGGGGUUACAGACCGUAAUUACAGGGAUGCCUUUACAAAUUAGGCUCGUAAUGUGCAGCGGCCACGCAGGGCCUGUUACAAUGGGCCGGAUCGCACGUGGGCCUCCAUGCUGGACGAGGUCGUAGGAUGAGACAACCUCGUCACAGGUCUUCGUCCGGUGACGUAUGGGACGAAGGGUGAGCCUGCCUGUUGUCUUGUCUCCGUUGGUCCAGCGAUUAUGGCGAAGGCAUCGAGCGAAGGGUGGCGUCUUCGCCUUCGCCCCAACAUUUGCCCUCAGAGGGACUAGUUCGACUAAGUCAUCUGGUGCCGAAGACGUCGCUAGAUGGCGGAGACGCUGCCCUCGCUCGAAGUGGUUCCGCGGGGGUUUUUGACAUGACCGUUGAUUGACACCGUACUGUUGGACUGCGGGUUUCCCGAAGCGCUGCGCCCUGUGUAUAAAAGGGGACGGGGGCGGCGCGUUUUGAACUUUAUCUUUCCGCGCUCCGCAAAAACCCUAACCGCCUUUUCAAACCUCUUGCUGCUCGUCUGCCCUCCUUGCUCUUGUUCACCGGAGAUCUGGCCCUUGUGAAGCAGACCGGCCGCCGCCGCCGACGGUACGUAGCGAUGCCGACCUCUUCUUCUUCUGCUGUCGCUACGCCGCCGGCCGAUGCGUCGUCUGAGGAGACGCUGAGCACUGUGGCGGCGGAGGAGUUGCACGCCGGUGAUAGGGUGGAUUUCGGUGUGUCGCGGAUGUCCUCGGUCCGCGUGCAAGAUAUGCAGCAGCUUGGUUACUUUGGUGGCAGAGUCGCUCGUGUCCCGGGGACGGAGGAGGUCCCCGAGCCAGAAGGCGAGUUUGUUGUGUUCGAGGCAUUCUUGCCGCUAGUCUUCGCCUGUCUGCGCACCGAUUUGUGGGAGAGGUCCUGCGCAGAUUUAACGUCCAGAUCCAUUAGCUGACUCCAAAUGUCGUGGUGGCUCUAUCGAAGUAUGUCUGGGCGACGACUUCGUACGGCGGACAGCCAUCGGUCGAAGUCUUCGCGAAGCACUAUUGCCUGCACUGGCAGAAAAGGAUGAUCGGAAAUGAGGUUGCCCAGUUUGGGUCCUGCACUUUUACGCCGAAGACCGGCAAGACCUCGAUGGAGGUAGUUGAGUUGGUUCCUUGCGCUCGCAACAAAUGGGGCAACUGGCAUGAGUUUUGGUUCUACGUUGCGGAGGGCACAGUCGAGGACCAUUCGGGGCUCCCCGUGGUCGAUAUGUGCUUGCAUUAUUACUCAGCAUACUCGCCGUUUGAAGUGGCGGAGGAGGAUGCAGACGAAGGGGCCCUUCGGUGCGCCGCAAGCCUGAGCAGCGGGCGCGAUUUGGUUGAGGAGUUUGUGGCGUAUGGGGUGUGGCCUUUGGCGCAUGGCUGGGCGCUGGGCGAAGUAUGCCCUCGCCAGAUGCCUUCCCGUGGUGGGAUGGUGGUGCGAAGUCCCGCCUUCGCACUAGAUCUGCGUAGCCGCGAUCCGGCCGCCUUUGUGCGUGAGGCGGAGGAUGGGGCGGCGCGAAUUGUCGGGCGGUACGUGCCGAAGACAGAGGGCCAGCGUAGCUGGGAUAUACGCGGGUCUAAUGACCGCUUGAACAGGGUCUUCGAGUUGAACCGUCUGCCGUAUGAUGGUUAUCCCGGGCAAGACGAUGCGGAUCGUUGCGGGAAGAAGCCGGUGGCAGAGACUGGAGACGACCCCGCGCCGGCGGCCGCCCCAUCCUCUAAGAAGAGGAAGCUAGGUACUGCUACGGGAGGACUGGAGUUUCCGAUGGUUUUGCUAGGGAAUUGAUGAGGACAUGCGCGGCCCCAGGGGGAAGGAUGUCUUCGCCCGAGCUCCGGGAGUCUUCGGCGCGGAUGCUGAGGGUUACCAGGGGUUGGUGGCCUAAGAAUGUUCCUAUCCCCCGCGCGGCCGGCGAAGACUUUUUUACAUCUCGCAUGGUUCGUGAUUGGAGAGUGUUUCCUUACGGGCGGAAUAUUGCUGUUGUUGUGUCGGCAGUGAUGGACAAGGAUCGUCAGGGAGCUGCGCAGAAGCGCCAGGCGGUCGUCAGGCUCCAUGAGGCCAGGCCGAAGAGGCCGCGGGGGACUGCGAAGGCUGCGGCCCCCGGAGGAAGCCAGCCGCCGCUGGCGACGAAGUCGGCCGCCCCUAGGUCCAGCAGGGUGCCGGAGGCUGCGAAGGCGGCUGCCGCCGGCGGCACCAAGUCUGUCCCGGCGGGAGCCGUGAAGGCCCAAGAGUUGCCGCCGCCGGGCAAGCGCGUUGCCGACUUCGCCACCGAUAUUAGUGUGGAAGAUUAUCUUGUUGGUAAGUCGUUGGCUCGAGUUUUUUUUAAUCUGUUGAUACGUCGCAGGGUCGGGCGAAGGCCAACUUGUUGUUGUUCCGCCCGCCGUGACGACCGCGGCGGCUGCCGUGGUGCCCAGGGCGAAGGGUAGUGCUCUUAUUGCCGGUGGCGAGAUGCCGGCACUCACUGCCGUCAGGGACGAGGCGGGCGCUGUGUCCCGCCGGCUGAAGGAGACAUUAAGUCAGGUACAUUGAACUAGACUUCGGUCAUGCUAAUUUUUUGCCGGCUUUGUUGGGGCUGUGGUCUUAUGUGUGUCUUGUAGGCGGCUGACUUCGCAUACCACGCGGCGUCGGGGGCCCUUACGGCAGUUGUGUCUGCCGAAGUCGAGAGACUUCGGAUGCAACAUGCUGACGCCGUCCGGGAGAAGUCGGCCGCCGACCGCAAAUGCCGCAAGCUGGCGGAUAAGGUGGCCGCACUGGAGGGUGAGAGGGCUGAGCUCCGGCGCCAACUGGCGGAGGAGAGGAAGGAGGCUAAUGAGGCCCUCGCCAAGGCACAGUCUGCGCAGGCGGAGGCCAAUUUGGCGCGGGUGGAGGGCAGUCUUGCCAGGCAGCGCGCCGAGGAAUUGGAGGAGCGGCUCAACGCUAUGCUGACCCGUGUGGAGAGGACCGAGGCUUCGACGCGCUCGGAGGCAGAGCGGACACGCAAACAUCUUAUGGACUCAUACCAUGAGCUGGGCGCGCGGACCGCUGACUUCGAAGUGCCAGACCGAGAGCCCGGACUUCGCUGCCUCGAGUGGCUAUAGGAGGAGUUGCUGGCGCUCCCCGCUAUCGUGGAGGGGUUUAUGUCCUAUGCCUCCCUGGUCACCUGCGAAGGGGCGAUGAACGCGCUUUCCCGUGAAGGGUGCCGACACUAUGAGGUCUUCGACCAAGCUGAUGAGGAUUUUGAGCCCGAUAUUUACAAGGUUGAGGACCCUGUGGUGAAGGAAUCCGCGGGAGCCCUCUACGACCGGAUGUGGGGCCCUCACGGUCGGGAGGUGGUCAGGGAGCGGUCCGAGACGGCGAGGGGUCAGGUAAUGUUUGACUUUUGUUUGGUGUUUGUUGAAUGUGGGUUAUAUGUGGGUUUGCUGAAUCUGUGUGCUGUGUCUCAGGCGGCGCGUGGCGAGAAGGUGGAGGACUUCGGGGCUUUGAACAGCGCGCAGCCUGACUCGGAGUCGAACCCGGUGGCGGCUGUGUCCGAGGCCGCCCCGGAGCCACCCCCAGAAGCCGUCGAAGGCGUUCCUGAUGCCCCCGCAGCCACUGAGGCCGGCGGAGGCCCGUCGGCAACUGCCGCGCCGGGGCUGAGGAUCCUGUGAAGAUGGUGGUAGAGCCGGUAGUGGAGGAUCCCGCGACGGCUGGGUCUUCGCAGGUGGCUUAGUGGGUGUGAGUAGUUAGGGAAUUUUUGAUAUGUUGUUGAACCUUGGUUGCUGUGCAGGUUCAAGAUUUUGGGCCUGCGCACGCAACCACUACUGCUAAUUUUUUGGCGGCUUCGACCGUGGAUGAUGGGAAUGAAUCGGAUGAGUCUGCAUCUAAGUUUUCUGAUUUUGGUGACUCUGGGAGCUCGGUUGAGUGGACUGAAGAGUCGUCGGAUGAGGACUUGGACUACUUUGCGGCCUUGGAUGUGGCAGCGGCGGAGGCUUCGCCGCAUGCUGCGGAUGCUGAAGUUGUGCCUGGUCCGAGCGCGGGGCGUAGGCGGCGAAGGGCGGUUGCGAAGCGUAGAGUGAGUGAGGCGGACGGUGGUCGGCUUCGUGUGAGUAGGGCUGGCAGGCAAGAACUGUUGUCCUUGUCGGCCGCUGUGAGUGCAGGUGAGGGAGAACUGUUAUUGUUAUGUUGGUCUGGUGUGCAUGUAGUCGGUCUUUGCGCGGACAGUUUGCUGUAGUCUUUUCCGUACUUGUUAAACUUGGUCUGGCUGCACCCUUAGGCGACUGUUGCACGGAUAGUCUUCGCUGAAGACUUCGAUUUUUCGCACUUGUUUUGCUAGUCCAGCUGCACCCUUAGGCGACUUUUGCACGGAUAGUCUUCGCGAAAGACUUCGAUCUUUCGCACUUGUUGUGCUAGUCCGGCUGCACCCUUAGGUGACUUUUGCAUGGAUAGUCUUCGCGAAAGACUUCGAUUUUUCGCACUUGUUGUGCUAGUCCGGCUGCACCCUUAGGCGACUUUUGCACGGAUAGACUUCGCGGAAGACUUCGAUUUUUCGCACUUGUUGUGCUAGUCCGGCUGCACCCUUAGGCGACUUUUGCACGGAUAGUCUUCGCGAAAGACUUCGAUUUUUCGCACUUGUUGUGCUAGUCCGGCUGCACCCUUAGGCGACUUUUGCACGGAUAGACUUCGAUUUUUCGCACUUGUUGUGCUAGUCCGGCUGCACCCUUAGGCGACUUUUGCGUGGAGUUGUCGCACGCGAGGGUAGCUAGCGCUGGGCCUCGCGGUGACUUUGUAUUGGUCGAAUGUCGAAGACCGUCGGCGCGGUCUUUUUCGACGCAGAUUUUUGCGGGGGAUUUUUCACUUGUAUAUUACAUGACUGAGCCUCGUUAAAAACCUCACCCCCUGGGAGGAAAAGAGUGCGGGCCGGAAUAAAAAUUGUUUUUGCGAAUUACAAGGGCGAACUGGCCCUGAUGAGUUAAACAAAAAAUUUGCGGAGAUUGUCGAUGUUCCAGGAGUCCUCCAAGUCUUCGCCGUUUGGCGUUGCGAGCCUGUAUGCGCUGGGGGAGGACUUCGUCUUGACAAUGAAAGGGCCCUCCCACUUGGGCUCCAGCUUGCCCCUGGACUCUGUCCGAGCUGUUCGGACGAGUACGAGGUCCCCUUCGCUGAAUUCCCUCGGGAUGACUGCGUGGUCGCGCCAUGCUUUUGUCUGGGCUUGGUAUUUGUUUAGAGCCUGUAGAGCGAAGACUCGGUCUCCAUCGAUGAGAUCCUUCGAAGUGGGUUCGUCCACGUCGGGGACAGCUGACGAAACUGUUCGUGGGGACCCAUGCUUUAUUUCUUGUGGGGUCAUGGCCUCCGAUCCAUAUAGAAGGCAGAAAGGGGUGAACCCAGUCGCCCUGCACUCAGUCGUGUUUAGCGCCCAGACUGCCUCAGGUAACAAAUCGGCCCACCUGCCCUUUUUUCGUCGAGGAGCAUCUUCUUGACAGCUGUGAAAUUUUUUCCAUUGGCGCGCUCCACAACUCCGUUGGACUGAGGGUGAUAUACUGAGGCGAAGGCAAGCUUGGUGCCAAUGGAGAAGCAAAAAUCCUUGAAGUCUUGGCUGUCAAACUGCUUGCCGUUGUCAACUGUUAGUUCGGACGGUACUCCAAAGCGGCAAACAAUGUUUUGCCAAAAGAAUUUCUGUGCAGUCUUUGAUGUUAUUGUGGAAACAGCCCUCGCCUCGAUCCAUUUGGUAAAGUACUCGACAGCGACGAAGUUGAACUUGAGGUUCCCCUGAGCCGUGGGCAGGGGCCCGAUGAUGUCCAGGCCCCAGCGCUGGAGAGGCCAUGUGUGGGCGAUCAGUUUUGUGAAUUGCGAGGGGCUGCCUGAUCGAGGAGAAAACUUUUGGCAGGCUUCGCAGGACCUUGUGACCCGAUUUGCGGCGCAGAUCAUUGCAGGCCAUUAGAAACCUUGGCGGAUCACCUUUGCGGCUAGGGCCCUUGGCCCUGCGUGAGAGCUGCAGGUACCACUGUGGACUUCGUGCAGGAUUUGGACGCCUUCGGUCUCGGUGACACAUUUAAGCAUUGGCUGACUGACCCCCUUCUUGUAGAGUUGGCCCUCAAUCAGUGCGAAGUCCCGGCUUCGAUGUUUGAGGCGCUUGGCCUCGUUGAUGUCGAUUGGGUGGUAGUACCCCUGUAGGAACAGGGUUAUUGGUGCCCGCCAAUCUUCGGUCAUAAUAAGGUUGACUAUGCAGUGGCCCUCGGUGUCAUUGGUUAUUUGUAGCCCUUCGGGGCUCCGGACGGCUGGCGUGCCGAUAACAUAGUAGAACACGUCGGAGGGCAGGGACUCGCCUCUGGCGGCAGCCUUGGCCAAUGUGUCGGCUUCUUCAUUCUUGGCCCGGUCCACAUGCUGCUAGGUGAAUCCCUUGAAUUGUCUCUCGAGACUUCGGAUGGCCGCGAGGUAUUGCAUAAGUGCGGGGUCCUUUGCUGCAUAGUCUUUCUCGACUUGGCCGGCGACUACCUUGGAGUAUGUGCUGAUAACGCAGGUGGUGACACCAAGGGCCCUCAGCUUGCGGAGGCCGAGGAUGACUGCUUCGUAUUCUGCUAUAUUGUUUGUGCAUCUGUCAGAUUCCAGAGCGAAGCUGAGGCGUGCCGCGUAUUUGUGCUUGACCCCGGCGGGUGAGGUGAUGAGUGCAGCGGCGCCUGCCCUCGCAUGGCACCAUGCGCCGUCACAGUGGAUCGUCCAAACCUUCUCUGUGGACGGCUUCGGUUGUGUUAUUGGCCCAGUCCAGUCGACGACGAAGUCUGCCAGGACUUGUGACUUGAUGGCUGUCCUGGGCUCGAAAUUGAUGUGGUAGCCGGAGAGUUCGACCGCCCACUUGGCAAUCCUGACCGAUGCCUCCGUGUUUCUGAACAAUUCACCUAGUCCCCUGUCUAAGGUGACUCGGACCUUGAAUGCUUCAAAAUAAUGGCGCAAUUUGCGCGAAGACAUAACAACUGCAUAAGCGAUCUUCUCCAGUUCUGUCAUGUUACAUUUGGAUGGUGUUAGCACUUCGGAGACGUAAUAAACUGGGCACUGCCUAAUCACGCCCUCAACUGUCUGCUCCUGCACCAGUGCCGCAAUGACCGCAUGCGGCGAAGCCGCAACAUAGAGCAACAGGGGUAGCGAAGAGUCGGGGCUUGUAAGGACUGCCAACUCCGACAGGUACUGUUUUAAUGAGGCGAAGGCCGCCGCCUGCUCUGGUCCCCAAGCGAAGUCUUUUGUGCCACAGAGAGUUUUGAGGAAGGGGAGACUCCGCUCAGCGGAUUUGGAGAUGAAUCUGUUGAGGGCGGCCAAUCUACCCGUCAGGCGCUGGACGUCUCUGGCUGACUGCGGUGGUGUCAUGUUGAUGAUGGCCUGAAUUUUGGUUGGGUUGGCCUCGAUGCCGUGGUGUGAUACCAGGUAGCCCAAUAUUUUCCCUUGGCGAACGCCGAAGACGCACUUUUUUGGGUUCAGGCGAAGUCGUGCAUCCCGCAUGUUCACGAAUGUCUCGGCGAGGUCGGCGAGAUGGUCCUCCUUGCUCCUGCUGGCGAUGACGAUGUCGUCCACAUAUGUGAAUAUAUUUCUGCCGACUUGCCCCUCGAGCACUAUUUUGGUAAGCCGGGAGAAGGUGGACCCGGCGUUCUUGAGUCCCUCCAGCAUUCUGAUGAAGCAAUAUGUGCCGAAGGGUGUUAUGAAGCUGGUGCUGGCCUUGUCUUCCUCCUUCAUAUAUAUUUGAUGGUAACCGGAGAAGCAGUCGAGGAGUGACAUGACUUCGCACCCGGCCGCGCUAUCGACUAUUUUGUCGAUCCGAGGCAGUGGGAAGUUGUCCUUUGGGCAGGCCUUGUUGAGACUGGUGAAGUCGAUGCACAUUCGCCACUUGCCGCUCUUUUUCUGCACCAUCACAACGUUGGAGAGCCACGUGGGGUAAGCCACUGGCUCGAUAAAUUUGGCUUCCAUGAGGCGAUGUACCUCGGCCUUGGCGGCUUCUGUCUUCUCGUCGGACAUUUUACGGAGCCGCUGUUUUUUCGGUCUCACCGAAGGGUCGAUUCCCAAGCUGUGCUCAAUUAUGGAUCGGCUGACCCCGACCAGGUCGAGGGCGGACCAGGCGAACACGUCUUUGUUCUUGGACAAGCAGCAGAGGAGCUUCUCCUCGUCAUGCGAAGUGAGGUCUUCGCCGAUGGUGACUGUCUGCUUGGGCGUGGCCUGGUCGAGGGGAACGGUCUUGGUCCCGUCGUUGCUCUGCAGCUGUGCCUUGUAUUCUUUGUUGGUUGGGCUGGCGGACGCAGGGACCUCGCGCUGGGCCAUGAGGCAGUGCACAUUUCUUUGCCCGGGGACGAAGUCCCGCUCUAUGUUGCGCGCAGUCUGCUGAUUGCCGUAGACCGUGAUGGCGCCUAACGGACAUGGUAUCUUCAUGCACAGGUACAGUCCGUGAAUGGCUGCCUCAAACUUGUUGAUGGAGCUCCGGCCCAUGAUGGCGUUGUACGGAUAUACCAUAUCCACAAUAUCAAAGGUCACUUGCUCACUUCGGGCAUUGGGUGCUACACCGAAGGAGAGAGGCAGUUCUAUUUUGCCGACAGGAAAAGUGCCCUUGCCGCCGAAGCCAUAUAAUGGGUUAUCCGAAGGCUUGAGCAGGCUGUGGCUUAUGCCCAUGCGGUUGAAGGCAUGGAGGAAAAUGAUGUCUGCUUGACUGCCAUUGUCGACUAGGACUUUGUGCAGGUCCCAGCCUGCCACGCUGCAGUUGAUAACCAUGGCGUCGAUGUGGGGGGCGCUGCGCAGGUCGACGUCUCGUGCGUCGAAGGUUAGCGGUACGUGGGACCAUUUUGUUUGCACGACUGGGCCGGUGAUGGCGACGUGGUUGAUGCUGCGGUAGUGGUCCCGCUUCUGCCGCUUUGUGUCGAAGUCGGUGCUGGACCCCCCAGUGAUCAUAUGAAUGACUCCGCGAUACGGCUGAUCGGCGAAGUCUUCUUGUUUUGGGGCGUGGGGGUGGGGGAUGUUUUGUUGCUGGUGUGGAGGUGGGUGUGGGGGAGAUACGAUUUGUACUUCCUGGUGGUGUUGGUAUGCGUGGUGUGGUGGAUGCAGAGCGGGGGCGUGGAUGUAUGGUGGAGGGGGUUGCUGAUAAGUGUGCGCGACAACCCUAGGGUUGUCCGCUGGCUGUGCCCGUGCCAUCCUAUCUUUGGUGGCCUUCGUCUCUGGGCAGUCUCUGGUUUGGUGGGCGCAGUCUUCGCCAUGAAAAAGACAGUAGAAUCGGCGCGGCGGUUGCGCACGCCCCAGUCCCCUACCACGAGUUCCAUUUCCGCGGCCCUGAGGGGGAUAUUCCUGGCGGCGAGGGGCGUCACCAGCGGGGUGCUGGUUGGCGAUGUUGUGCACCUGCUACUGAUUGCGUUCGUCUCGACCGGAGUCUGGCUGCGGAGUCCUCGUCCACGUGCGGCUGGACUGUGGAGCAUCUUUGGGUUUCCUCUGAGACUCAACCUUGCGCUGGUGGAGCUCUUCGGAUUUGGCAUAUUUUUCAAAUAGCUAAUAUAAUUCCUGGAGGUUCUUGGGCGGAUCUCUGAUGCAGUGGCUGUAAAGAACGCCGGCGCGAAGGCCACUGAUGGCGUAGUGGAUGGCGAUCUGGUCAUCGACUGAGGGCAGCUGUGACUUGAGUGUUAGAAACUUGCGGUAAUACUCCCGCAGAGUCUCUUUUUCCAGCUGCUUGCAGAGUGAGAGUUCGGCCAAGGCGUCGGUGUCUGGACGGUACCCUUGGAAGUUGAGCAGGAAUUUGUCCCGGAGGCUUCUCCAGGAGUAAAUGGACAGCGGGGGCAACCUGGUGAACCAGGUGAGAGCUAGGCCUUCGAGGGCGAUGAUGAAAGACUUGGCCAUCGUGGUGUCGUCCCCUCCGGAAGAUGCAACGGCGACCUGAUAACUCAUGAUGUAAUGUGCUGGGUCAGUACUGCUGUUGUACUUGGGAUAGGUCCCUGCCCGAAAGUUAGCAGGCCAGGGUGUCACUUGCAGGUGUGGCGCCAGGGGACUUCGCUCGUCGAGGUAAUUGACCCCUUGGAAUGGCGCGGCGUGCGGGAAGGCGUGGUCGCGCUGGGGGAAGUGUAGGUCUUCCAUUUGCGUGCGGUGUUGCAGGGGUGGCCCGUGCUGCAGGCCGAGGUGGCCUUCUCGUAUGUCUUCCAGUUGUGCGCGCUGUUGCAGGGGUGGCCCGUGCUGUAGGCCGAGGUGGCCUUCACGCAGCAUCAGCGCGAUCUCCCGCUCGAGGUCCUGGGCCUUCUGCUCUUCGUCGCGUAUCAUUUACCGCACCUUGGCUAGUGCAGACACACGCUGGCGCUUGGCCUCCAGUAUCUCUUUUUGCCUCUGGAGAUUGCGGUUCUUGAUGCGCAAGGCGCGUAGCUGUAGCUGUUCUUCCGCUGAGACGCCGAGGACUUCACCGUCCUCGGUGAGGUCCGCGCCCUCCGGUGGGGCGAAGCCUAGGGGAGGUUGCGGUUGUCCUUCAGGGCCGCAGGUGCGGAGAGCGUCGUCUUCGCAGGUGCGGAGAACGUCGUCUUCAGUAGCCUCUUGGUGGGUGGAGUCGGUGAGGGCGAUGGCCUUGCCCUUUUUUGCGGCCAACAGUGCUGCCUUCGCAGCCUCGUCGGCCUUCGAGCUAGUUUUCUUGGGUGCCAUCGCGGGUGGUUUUUUCGUAGCACGAACGGUGGGCGCCAAAUGUUGGAACUUGCUAUCAGGAGCAAGGGGAUCCAACGGGGGUGAGUAUUGACGUAAACAGGGUUCUCGCACGAGAUGGCAAAAGCUCUGUUAAUCUGGCCUCUCAAGGGCACUGUGCGGGGGUAUUUAUAGGUAUCUGAGUGCCCAGCGUCCUGUGUUAAGGACGCAUGUGCCCUCAGACACCUAGGUUAUCCCCGGAAUAUUCCCAUAAAGCGGGGUUAUAGACCGUAAUUACAGGGAUGCCUUUACAAAUUAGGACCGUAAUGCGCAGCGGCCACGCAGGGCCUGUUACAAUGGGCCGGAUCGCACGUGUGCCUCCAUGCUGGACGAGGUCGCAGGAUGAGACGACCUCGUCACAGGUCUUCGUCCGGUGACGUAUGGGACGAAGGGUGAGCCUGCCCGUUGUCUUGUCUCCGUUGGUUCAGCGAUUAUGGCGAAGGCAUCGAGCGAAGGGUGGCGUCUUCGCCUUCGCCCCAACAUUCAUGCUCUCAAGAUAUGGAGACAUUACUUGAUGGGAGCUCACUAUAAUAUUUACACUGAUCAUAAGAGUCUCAAAUACAUCUUCACUCAGGCUGAUCUUAAUAUGAGGCAGAGAAGAUGGUUAGAAUUAAUCAAGGAUUACGAUUUGGAGGUGCAUUACCAUCCUGGCAAAGCCAAUGUCAUGGUAGAUGCUUUAAGCAGGAAAGCCCAGUGCAAUUGUAUGAAUAUGGAUGCAAGGGUCACCACCCUAUGUGAUGAGUUGUGCAAGCUGAAAAUAGAAGUCGUUUCCUCUGGUGCUUUAAGUUAUAUUUUAGUGGAGCCCACAUUACAAGAGCAAAUAGUCAUGGCACAGAUUGGAUACAAGGGUGUUCAAGUCAUUAAGGAAAUGAUCAAACAGAAGGUGGACAAAUACAAAUGCUUCCAUCAGGACAGCAAAGGAAUCCUAUGGUUUGGAGACAGAUUGGUCGUUCCCAAGAACCCUGAGCUCAGAAGGAAGAUAUUGGACGAAGCUCACCUUUCAAAAUUCUCCAUGCACCCCGGCAGUAACAAGAUGUAUCAUGAUCUCAGAUCCCUAUAUUGGUGGACCAGAAUGAAGAGGGAAAUUGCCAAGUAUAUAUCCGAAUGUGACACCUGCCAGAGAAUCAAGGCCAGUCAUUUGAAGGUAGCAGGCACUUUGCAACCCCUUCCCAUACCAUCUUGGAAAUGGGAGGAUAUUUGCAUGGAUUUUAUCGUGGGAUUGCCCAAUACCUCCCGGCACCAUGAUUCCAUUUGGGUCAUUGUGGACAGAUUGACCAAGAUAGCUCAUUUCUUGCCGGUACACACCACCCACAGGACGGAAAAGUAUGCUGAAAUUUACAUUGACCAGAUAAUUCGCUUGCAUGGAAUACCAAGGAUUAUAGUAUCUGACAGAGGAGCACCGUUCGUGGCACAAUUUUGGGAGCAAUUGCAGGAAUCACUUGGGACCCAUGUAAUAAGAAGCUCAGCAUACCAUCCUCAAACAGAUGGUUAGACAAAAAGGGUGAAUCAGAUCUUGGAAGACAUGUUGAGGGCAUGUGUGCUACACUAUGGAAAGGAUUGGGACAAGUGUCUUUCAUUGGCAGAGUUCUCUUAUAAUAACAGCCACCAAUCCAGUUUGAAGAUGGCACCUUUUGAAGCCUUGUAUGGGAGAAGGUGUAGGACCCCGCUGAAUUGGUCACAAGCUGGGGAGAGGGAAAUAUUUGGGCCAGACUUGGUACUUGAAGCAGAGGAAAAGGUCAGAGUUAUUAAGAAGAACCUAGAAGCUGCUCAGGCCAGGCAAAAGAGCUAUCAUGACAGGAGAAGGAAGCCUCUACAGUUUUGAGUGGGAGAUCAUGUUUAUCUUAAGGUGUCACCCACCAAAGGUGUCCAGAGAUUUGGAAUCAAGGGAAAGUUAGCUCCGCGCUACAUUGGACCCUAUGAGAUCAAGGAAACUUGUGGACCUGUAGCAUAUCACUUGAAGUUGCCACCCCACAUGUCAGCAGUUCAUGAUGUGUUCCAUGUAUCUCAGCUACGGAAAUGUGUCCCCUUACCCACUGAAGUACUACCUGAACCAGAAAUUGAGAUAGAACCAGACUUGUCUUAUCAAGAGCACCCCGUCAAGGUAUUGGAUCAAAAAGAGAGAUCAACGAGGGCAAGGUCGAUCAGAAUGUAUAAGGUUCAGUGGAGUCACCAUUCAGUAGAAGAAGAUACCUGGGAGACUAAGGAUUUUCUACGCUCUCGCUUCCCCGACUUUCUGCCCAAAGGAGUCGGUACGUAAUCCAAAACCCCACCCCCACCUGCCCUUUGAAUCUAAAUAUAAGAAAAACUUAGAUGUUAAAGGUGUUGUAAGCUUUAGAAAUAACUCAAAAAGGACUUCCUUCUGAAGUCGCAAAGAGAAUAACAUUCGAAGAGCAGUUAACUAGAGAAACUUGGAUAAAGGAAGGAGCAACACACCAGCACACCUUCAUGGCACCCCCUCCAAAGGACUCUACCCAAAAACUCGGGACGAGAUUCCUUUAAGGGCUUGUUCGGUUAGCUCUCAAUCCAUAUGGAUUGAGUGGGAUUGGAUGGGUUUGAAUCCCAAACAAGUCAAACUUCUUAAGAUUUUUUUCCAAUCCCAUCCAAUCCAUGUGUAUUGGGAAUAACCGAACAAGGCCUAAGGGGGGAGGGCUAUAACACCCCAGGUGUUACUUAGAGUUUCCACUCAAGGCUACACAAGUAAGCCCAUCAUCACAUGUGACUUAAGUUGGGAAAAGUACACCAAAUUUGGAACUCAAGAUCCUAAGUAAGUGCAACCCAUCUUAGGGUCAUACCUUGGCUUGUCAUGCACAUAUAAUGGGGAGAGUUGCCCAAACCCUAAUUCAAACCCCUUUGGACAAUUGGAGCACUAGAAGUAAGUAUGAACAAAAGGGUAUGAAAACCACAUGAUCAUGACUUGGGCCAAUUAUAAAAGAUGUAGUACACUUAAUACCCUACAAAUGAUAGUAAGAAAGUGACCCCAAAAAGAAUUCAGAAAAGCCCCAAAAGGUUCACCAAAGGGUUGAGCAUAAGAGAAAAAUCAGAACUCUUCUAAGUCCAAAACCACCCCUUUUCCAAAGAUCAAACAUGUUCACCCUCUUUCAAACUUCAAAACCAUUUGACCCAAUUGACAAAGUGGCGCCAAAAUACAUCUAGAACACCCUGGAAAAGGUUGAACCCAACCCUAAGUCGUUUGACAUGACUUGGCACAAGAUUUGUGUCGGUAUGGACAGCUAGGACAAAGGCAACUUCCCACACCCAUAUCUCUCAAACCCGGCCACAUCUAACCUUGGAACACACAUGAACUAGGUAGCCCUAGGUGCAGGGAAGAGAUCGCUCACAAGUCUUAGGGCAAGAUUCGCACGUUUUGGCCGCUCAGCAGAGGGUAGAAUAAGAACAGAAACAAAGAGCCACGUGUUCGACGCGCUUUGAUCUCGCCAGAGCACGCCCGACGCGCGCCCCCGCGUGCCCUGCGUCACGCCAAAGCCGAGCCGGUGCAGUUGCCCGCGCCUAUGAAGCCCCCAGGGACUUUGACCGUACUCCCCCGCGCGCGCUCGACCUCACCGGAGCACCAGAUCACCGGCGUAGCCCCACGCACGACAUGCCCGCGGCCACCCGAUCCCCCGCCACCGUAGAUCGGCCAACAGAGCCUCUCCCAGCCGCGUCCGACCCUCGGAGGAGACCGUGCAUGCCUCGGUGAAGCUCCCCGAGCAAGGAAUCGAACCUUGCCUCGCCGGAGAAGCCAGUCCACGGUCGUCGGACUUCACCCGACCGCCGGUGAACGUAGACCGAGCUCCACGGUGAGUUGUUCUUCAAUUCCUUGCAUGAGUCAACUCAUCAACACCCCGUGAUGCUCCCAGUGCCCUUGGAUUGACCUAUGUCGUCGUGGUUAGGCCGGAGCACUCACCGCCGAUGAGUUCACCC